rnacentral:lncRNA from 1 species
CACAUGGCCAGACACUGCUCUGCUUUUCAAAGAGGUGAGUCCUCUCUUGUUUCCUAACUGCCACUUAAAAACUCCAGACAAAAAUUAAACUGUUGAUACAUGCAACCGAGUCUUAGCAUGGAAUAACUUCUUUCAAAGAGAUAGCAGUUUGUUGGGGGUGGGGGUGUGUGGGUUGCUAAAUUGUGAUGUGAAAUCAAGGUCAAUUUUCUUUGAUAAUAAAUAUGUAUAAAUCAGAAAGACUGAUAAUACUACAACAGGAAAAGAAUGUAGAGCAUUUGGGGGCUUAAUUGUGCUUCCAUUCUUUUUUACAACUGUGUAUUUUGAAGGAAAACGCCAAGUUCUGUUUAGGUUUUUUGUUGAAAAUAAUUUCCAAAGACCUACCCUACCUGAGUCUUUCUCCUGCUUUGCUUUUCUAUUACCAUUAGAAUUACCCUGCCAGGUAUUAGAAUUAGAAUUAGAAUAAGAAUUCUGCCCCUGCCGGGAUAUCACAAACAGCAGUGGUGUUUGCUUACUUCUAGCCCAUUGCACAUCUUCUUUAACCUAGAAUUACCAUGUUUUAUUUAAAUCAUCAGUGAAUUAACCAAACUGCAAAAAGAAUAUUUUAAUCUCUGUUCAAUGGGUUUUCUCUGACCUCGAAAAAAUAUGCUUUAUGAUGGAACUCAUGAAAACUAAUACAUGGGGCGUCUGAGCGGCUCAGCUUGUAAAGCAACCGACUCUUGAUUUGGGCUCAAGUCACAAUAUCGUGGUUUGUGAGUUCGAGCCCCCCAUCGGGCUCUGAACUGACAGCAUGGAGCCUGCUUGGGAUUCUCUGUCUCCCUCUGUCUCUGCCUCACUCCCUCUCUCUCUCUCCCUCUCUCUCAAAAAAUAAAAAUAAAAAUAAAAAUAAAAAUAAAAAUAAAAUAAUAAAAUAAAAUAAAAUAAACAAACUUAAAAAAAGAAAACCAAUAUUUAUCUCUGGCUUUCCUCUGCUCUGAAUGUUGUAUUACUUUUAAGGCAUUCAAAGAUUUCUAAGCCAGUUUAUACCUUGACUUUUCUUAGAACUCUAUAGUUUCUUUUGUGGUAUCUGAAGACUGACCCGGGCAUAGAGUUUCUGUGCGCAUGCAAAAAGCAUGAGCGCCAAGACCAGAAACCAAAGUCCACAUGCCGGUCUUCCCGUGGCAACUUCUGUCCCCCACACUGGGCCCAUGUCACAGCCCCUGGGGUUCCAAGUGAGCAAAUGGCAGCCUUGCUUUCUUUUUGCUUCUGGGCAUGAGUUGGUUGUGGUCACAGUCACACAGUCAUCCUCACUGGGGUCACCUUUCCCCCUCCGGACUAUGUCCCCAGGUCUCCCCGCUUCCUGGCCCCUUCUGCCUCAGUUUCCCAACAUGCUCCUGGUCUUUAAAGAUCCCCAUGGUUAUGACUCCCAAGGAAGUCAAAUGACUAAUAUGUACGCUAUAAUAUCUUUUGAGUGAGAUGGCAAAUAUGGGAGAGAUAAGGGUUAAAGAUUUACCUUGGACAAAACUCAACUUGGGAAUUUUCAUACAUUCGUUUAUAUAUUAGCUCCUGUCUACACGGGUGAAGGUAAGGGAGAGGAAGGGAGGGGCUGGUGGCCAGGAGAACAGAGGGAGGGAAUCCUGCAGAGCUGCUUUCUGCAGCAGCUCAGAGGCCUGGGAUCUGGGCUAGGCUGGGCGGCCAGCUAGCUCCUCCUUCAGACAGACAGUCUCCUCCACUCCCUCCUUCUCAGCUCUGGCCCUCACAGCAGAGAGUGUGGAGUAAGCAUAUUCUCUCACUGCCAGGGGGCAUUUACGAAACUGGCUCAUUCUCCACACACCCCACCCCACCCCCAACAACCCCGCAUAUUUUUUUUAAUCACAAACUGGAGUGAGGGGAAAUACUCAUUGUUGGGAAGUUAGAUCUUCUCACAAGGUCAGUUUGUGCCUAUUACCCACUGAGAAGAGAACAAUUUGAGCAAAUGAUCACAUUUAAUUAGAAAAAGAAUGAGGCUUAGCUCAUAAUGACAAUGGGCAAUUUGAGUAAUUAAAAUUAUUUUAGAAAAGCACUGAUUUCUUCUAAAUUAAAAUAUGCCCAGAAGCAAUAUAUAUAUAUAUAUAUAUUCAGAUAACUUUUUUGUUAUUCAGUCUUUCUCAUUUUAAACCACUUGUGAACUGACUUUUCCAUUUAUGCAAGAGGAUGUUCUAUAUCUCAGAAUAAUAAUUGAAAAUGCCCCCAUAAAUACUUUAAAUUUAUGAGGUUCUCACCGGCUAAACUACAAUUCCUUUAGUGUAACAGCUGAAGAAAAGCAUAGAAUUCUAGAGAAAACAGUUCUUGGCUUUAACUUCUUUAUGUUCAGCAGCCUUAUUAUUGUCAAAAUUCCCCAAAUUAAAAUGCAAAACUCUGCUUCUUGGCUGGGCUCGGUUACUUAACCUUAAUAAAAUAUAAGAGUCUGUUUCAUUAAUCGGAAACAUCCCAGACACAGUGCAUGAAUUUUAUCUUCCACUCUGUCCUUUGUAUUUCAGAAUGAUGAUAAUAAUAAUAAUAAAAAUCCUAGGAUUUGGCAGCCAGACAAUUGUGUUCUCUUUGUUUCUAUCAUGUUCCUAUGUAAAAUGAAUUUCUCAGACAGACUAAAUGCCUUAAGGGGCAAAAAUUCCAAUGAUCCUCUCCCCUGGAAAUCUUUAAAAAUAGAAUAAACUUUCAUUUGUCUGGGUGUGGUUUAAGCGCCGUCUGUCUUUGGCAGAGGGAUGGUUUAGUUGACCUACUGAUGUUGCUUUAAGCUGCAUGAUCACUUAGGGGGAGAAUUUUCCUUUAAUCCUUGCCAGAUUUAAUUUAUCACAACAAUGCAUGCUCUUACAGAUGUAGUAAAACAAAAAAGGGGGUGCAAUCUUCUUUUCCACUGUAAAGUAAUAAAACAGUUUCUCAAAUUUGAGAAACUAAGAUUAAAUCAAGAAAAUGUCUGAUUUUUUCCCCCUCUUCAAACUUCUACUGAAAGAUAGUGAAAUAUGAUAAAUAGCAUGCUAUUUAAGACAAGAUGUUUUCAAACAACUGGACCAAAUCAACAAAACGGAACCAUAUGCUUCAUGAAGACCACCUUCAUAUUCCUCACAGGAACCUGAAGCUGGGCAUCUGGACAGAGGUGGGGGGAGGCACUGACCAUGCCAAGGGGUGCUGAUGGGCACUGACAGAAUGGGGAGUGGGAGAGGGCUGGGGAAAGUGCUUUCACAGAUACGGAACCACCAGUGUCAGCCCAGGCCCUUGUUAUAUGUGCAUCAUGUGCCCUCCUGUUGACCUCCCAGACACUCUGUGGACAGCCACAAAUUCCCCAGAAGGCCAACCACACGCCCCCACCCCCAAACCCUUGCAAUUGGAAUCAUUAUAUAAUGAAAGUUUCCACUUUCCUCAGAAACACCAAGGGAAAAAAAUAGUGUUAUUAUGUCAGUACAUUGCUCAUUAACACAUAUACACACACGGAGGCCUAAGAGUUGGUCAGUUUUUUAAAACUAUUAUUUAUAGUCAAAUUCUAAGUCAAAUGUAUUCAAGUGUUCACCAAUUCCUUCUCUCUCUCUCUCUCUUUUAAACUUUAUUUUGAGGGUUAGGGUUAGGGUUAGAGAGAGAGACAGAGAGAGAGAGGCAGAGAGACAGGGAGACAGAAUCCCAAGCAGGCUCUGUCCUCAGGGUUUGAUCUCAAGAAGGGUGAGAUCAUGACCUGAGCAGAGAUCAAAAGUCAGACGCUUAACCAACUGAGCCACCCAGGCACCCCUUUUUCUUUCUCUUUCAAGAGAGAAGCCAAAGUUUGUUUUUAACUAUCAAGCUUUAUUUAGGUAUUAUUUACUUAUCUGAAAAUACACCCGUUGUGUGUGUGGAGAUCAAUGUUUUUUAGUGAAUUUAUAAAACUGUGUAAUCAUCACUACACCCCAGUCUUAAAAUGUUUUCCUGCACUUCAAUAAGUUCCUCAUGUCCAUUUGUAGUCAAUCGCCUCUCCGAUCCCCAGCCCCAGGCCAAGCACUGACUGCUUUCAGCUCUACAGAUAUGCUUGUUCUAAAAAUUUUAUACAAAAAUUGUUUCUCGGCCUUUUGGCUAAGAUCAUGUGUAAAAAUUUUACACAAAUCAAAUAAUACAACAGGGGGUCUUUUUUUGAAUGCUUCUUUCACUUAGAUGAUUUUGAUGUUCACCUGUGUUGUAUAUGUGUCAGUAGCUGAUGCCUUUUUAUUGCUGAACAGUAUGAACAGUAUGCCAAUGUAUAGAUAUACAGCAUUGCUUUUGUUAUCAGUUCACUAGUUGGUAGACAUUUGGGUUUCUGAUUUUGGAUUACCAUGAAUACGCUGCUGCGAACAUUCAGAUGCAAGCCUUUGUGCAGAUUUAAGUUUACACUGUUCUUGGGUAGACAGCCAAGAGUGGAAUUUUUAUUCCAGAUGCUAAGUUUAUAUUUAACUUUUUAAAAGAAACAUUGCUUUCCAAAGUGAUUGCAUCAUUUUACAUUCCCUUCUGCAAUGUAUGAGGAUUCCAAUUGUUCCUUGUCAACACUUGUUAUUAUCUGAAUUUUGAUUAGAGCCAUUCUAGAGUGUGUGAAGUUAUGUCUUACUAUGAUUUUGCUUUGCAUUGACCUAAAGAUUUAUGAUGUUAAGCAUCUUUCCAAAUGCUGACUGGAUAUUUUUUAUAUUUUCUUUGGACAAAUGUCUAUUCAUAUCCUUUACCCAUUUUUAAAUUGGGUUGUUUGUUUUAAAGUUUUAUUUUUUAUUUGAGAGGGACAGAAGCAGUAUGAGUGGGGAGGGGCAGAGAGAGAGGGAGAAAGGGAAUCCCAAGCAGGCUCUGUGCUGCUGACGCAGAGCUUGAUGUGGGGCUUGAACCCAUGGAACCAUGAGAUCAUGACCUGAGCCAAGACCGAGUUGGAUGCUUGACAGACUGAGCCACCCAGCCACCACAGGGUUGUUUGGUUUUUUUAUUAUGAGUUGUAGAUGCUGUCAACUGAAAGGAAGGCACUCAGGGUAGGUUAGUAAACGCUUUAUUCAUUGUCUUAGUAAGAACACAGCCCAGGAAACAGUCUUUUGCAUUGCUCUGAAGAAUAGCUCUGGAGUUAUAGGGGAUUAUAUGUCAACAGGGGAAUGGGGUUUACAUGCCUGCAAACACUUCUCCAAAUAUUUGCGUGUCACAAGGCAUACGGUUUGGUUGAUAAAAUUAAGGUUUACUGAUUUCCACAUAGACAUGUGUAAGACCCCUAGGUGAUCUUAAUAAAUUAUGUUUCUAUCAUAAUUGAUUAUUCAAAAAUAUCAUUUGCAUGCCUCUGCUUAACUGAUUUUCCAGUUCUUCCUGUUAUUUUUUUAAGUUUUUAUUUUUAAUUCCAGUUAGUUAACACACAGUAUUAUAUUAGCUUCAGGUGUAUAAUACACUAAUUUAACACUUCCAUACAUCACCCUGCAUUCAUCACAGGUGCACUACUUAAUCCCUAUCACCUAGUUCACCCAUGCCCCCCACCCACCUCCCUCCCUUCUGUCAACCUUUGUUCUCUAGUUAAGAGUCUCUUGGUUUGCCUCUCGCUUUUUUGUUUCCCCUUUCCUUGUUUGUUUUGUUUUUUAAAUUCCACAUAUGAGUGAAAUGAUAUGGUAUCUGUCUUUCUCUGACUGACUUAUUUUGCUUAGCAAUAUAAUCUCCAGCUCUGUGUCAUUAUAAAUGACAAUAUUUCAUUCUUUAUGGCUGAAUUAUAUUGCAUUAUAUAAUGCAUUGAUAGGCAUUCUUCUUUUGUUGUUGUUGUUGUUGAAGUUUCCUUUUUCUUAAUAAUUUAUUUAUUUUUUAAUUUACAUCCAAGUUAGUUAGCAUAUAGUGCAACAAUGAUUUCAGUAGAUUCCUUAAUGCCCCUUACCCAUUUAGCCCAUCCCCCCUCCCACAACCCCUCUAGCAACCCUCUGUUUGUUCUCCAUAUUUAAGAGUCUCUUAUGUUUUGUCCCCCUCCCUGUUUUUAUAUUAUUUUUGGUUCCCUUCCCUUAUGUUUACCUGUAUUGGAUCUUAAAGUCCUCAUAUGAGUGAAGCCAUAUGAUUUUUGUCUUUCUCUGACUAAUUUCACUUAGCAUAAUACAUUCUAGUUCCAUCCAUGUGGUUGCAAAUGGCAAGAUUUCAUUCUUUUUGACUCCCAAGUAAUACUCCAUUGUAUAUAUAUAUACUACUUCUUCUUUAUCCAUUCAUCCAUCGAUGGACAUUUGGGCUCUUCCCAUACUUAGGCUAUUGUCGAUAGUGCUGCUAUAAACAUUGGGGUGCAUGUGCCCCUUCGAAACAGCACACCUGUAUCCCUUGGAUAAAUACCUAGUAGUGCAAUUGCGGGGAUGUAGGGUAGUUCUAUUUUUAAUUUUUUGAGGAACCUUCAUACUGCUUUCCAGAGUGGCUGCACCAGUUUGCAUUCCCACCAGCUGCGCAAAACAGAUAUUUCUCUGCAUCCUUGCCAACAUCUGUUGCUGCCUGAGUUGUUAGUGUUAGCCAUUCUGUCAGGUAUGAGGUGGUAUAUCUCACUGCCACCAAUUCUUCUUUACCUAUUCAUCAGGUGAGGGAAAGUAUGGCUGUUUCCAUCAUUUGGCUAUCGCAGAUAAUGCUGCUAUAAACAUGUACAUCUAUCCCUUUGAAUUUGCAUUUUUGUAUUCUUUAGGUAAAUACCUGGUAAUGCAAUGGCUGUAUCACAAGGAAGUUCUAUUUUUAACUUUUUGAGGAACCUCCACACUGUUUUCCAGAAUGGCUGCACCAGUUUGCAUUCCCAUCAACAGUGCAAUAGGGCUCCCCUUUCUCCACAUCCUCACCAACAUCUGUUGUUUCUUGUGUUGUUGAUUUUAGCCAUUCUAACAGGUUGGGGUGGUAUCUUAUUGUGGUUUUGACUUGUAUUUCUCAGAUGAUGAGUGACAUUGAGCAUCUUUUCAUGUAUCUGUUAGCCAUUUGGCUGUACUCUUUGGAAAAAUGUCUAUUCGUGACUUCUGCACAUUUUUUAAUUGGAUUAUUUGUUUUUGGGUGUUGAGUUUUAUAAGCUCUUUACAUAUUUUGGAUAGUAAUACUUUAUUGAAUAUGUCAUUUGCAAAUAUCUUCUCCAAUUCUGUAGGCUGCCUUUUAAUUUUGUUGAUGUUUCCUUCCCUGUGCAGAAGCUUUUUAUCUUGGUUAUGUCCUAAUAAUUUAUUUUGUUUUUGUUUCCCUUGCCUCUGGAGACAUAUCUAGAAAGAAGUCGGUAAGGCUGAUGUCAAAGAGGUUGCUGCCUGUGUUCUCCUAUAGGAUUUUUAUGUUUUAAUGUCUUACAUUUAGGUCUUUAAUCCAUUUUGAAUUUAUUUUUGUGUCUGGUGUAAAAAAGUGGCCCAGUUUCAUUCUUUUGCAUGUAACUGUCCAAUUUUCCCGACAUCAUUUUUUGAGGAGACUUUUUCCCAUUGGAUAUUCUUUCCUUCUUUGUCAAAGAGUUAUUGCUAUAGGUUCAUUUCUGGGUUUUCUAUUCUGUUCUAUUGAUCUAGCUGCCUUCCCCCCCUCCCCCCAAAUACCAUACUGUUUUGAUCACUACAGCUAUGUAAUAUAACUUGAAGUUGGGAAUUGUGAUGCCUCUAGCUUUGCUUUCUUUUCUUUUUCAAGAUGGCUUUGGCUAUUUGGGGUCUUUUGGGUUCCAUACAAAUUUUAGGAUUGUUUGUUCUAGCUCUGUGAAAAAUGCUGUUGGUAUUUUGAUAGGUACUGCAUUAAAUGUGUAGAUCUCUUUGGGAAAUAUAGAUAUUUGAACAAUAUUUGUUCUUCCAAUCCAUGAGCAUGGAAUGUCUUUCCAUUUCUUUGUGUCCUCUUAAAUUUCUUUCAUCAGUGUUUUAUAGUUGUCAGAGUACAGGUCUUUCACCUCUUUGGUUAGGUUUAUUCCUUGGUAUCUUAUUUGUUUUUGGUGCAACUAUAAAUGAGCUUGAUUCCUUAAUUUCUCUUUCUGCUGCUUCAUUAUUGGUGUAUAGAAAUGCAACAGAUUUCUGUAUGUGGAUUUUGUAUCCUGCAAUUUUACUGAAUUCCUUUAUCAGUGCUAGUAGGUUUUUGGUGGAAUAGUUCAAGUUUUCUAUAUAGAGUAUCAUGUCAUCGGCAAAUAGUGAAAGUUUUACUUCUUCCAUACAGAUCUGGAUGCUUUUUACUUCUUUGUGUUAUCUGGUUGCUGUUGCUAGGACUUCCAGUACUGUGUUGAAUAAUAAUGGUGAGAGGGAACAUCCCUGUCUUGUUCCCCACUGUAGAGGGAAAGCUCUCAGUUUUUCCCCACUGAGGAUGAUAUUAGCCGUGGGUUUUUCAUACAUGGGCUUUAUAUGUUGAGGUAUGUUCCCUCUAAACUUACUUGGAUGAGCUUUUUUUUUUUAAUCACAAAUCGAUGUUGUACUUUGUCAAAUGCUUUUUCUGCAUCUAUUGAAAUGGUCAUAUGGUUCUUAUCCUUUCUUGUAUUAAUGUAGUGUAUUAUGUUGAUUGAUUUGUGAAUAUUGAACCACUCUUGCAACUCAGAAAGAAAUCCCACUUGAUCGUGGUGAAUGAUUUUUUAAUGUAUUGUUGGAUCCAGUUUGCUAGUAUUUUAUUGACAAUUUUUGCAUCCGUGUUCAUCGGGGAUAUAGCCUGUAGUUCUCUUUUUUAGUAGUCUUUACCUGGUUUUGGUAUCAGGGUAAUGCUGUCCUCAUAGAAUGAAUUUGGAAGUUUUUCUUCCUUUUCUUUUUGGAAUAGUUUGAGAAAAAUAGGUAUUAACUCUUCUUUAAAUGUUUGGUAGAAUUCACCUCUUAAGCCAUCUGGCCCUGGAAUUUUGUUUGUUUGGAGGUUUUUUUGAUUACUCAUUCAAUUUAUCUUCUGGUUUAUGGUCUGUUCAGGUUUUCUAUUUCUUCCUGUUUAAGUUCCAUAAUUCAUAUGUUUCUAGGAAUUUAUACAUUUCUUCCAAGUUGUCCAAUUUGUUGGUAUCUAGUUUUUCAAAGUAUUCACUUAUAAUUGUUUGUAUUUCUGUGAGUGUUGGUUGUUAUUUUUCCUCUUUCAUUUGUAAUUUUAUUUAUUUGGGUGUUGUCUCUUUUUCGAUAAGUAUGACUAGAGGUUUAUCAAAUUUAUUAUUUUUUUCAAAGAACCAUCUCCUGGUUUCAUUGAUCUGUUCUAUUUUUUGUUUGUUUUUUUGUUUUAGUUCCAAUACAACUUAUUUCUGCUCUAAUAUUUAUUAUUUCCUUCCUUCUGCUGGCUUUAGGCUUCGUUUAUUGUUCUUUUCUAGCUUCUUUAGGUAUAAGGUUAGGGUGUUUAUUUGAGAUUUUUCUUUCUUCUUUAGGUGGUUCUGUGUUGCUAUAUACUUUCCUCUUAGGAACACUUUUUUCCUGCAUCCCAAAGGUUUGGGCCAUUGUAUUUUUUAAAAUUUUCUUCUUUGAUUUCCUGUUGAUCUAUUCAUUGUUUACUAGCAUGUUGUUUAACCUCUAUGUAUUUGUGGUCUUUCCAAAUUUUUUCUUGUGGGUGACUUCUCAUUUAUAGCAUUGUGAUCAGAAAAAUUUGAAUGGUAUGAUUUCAAGUUUUUGGUAUCAGGGUAAUGCUGGCCUCUAGAAUGAAUUUGGAAGUUUUCCUUCCUUUUCUUUUUGAGGCCUGAUUUGUGACCUAAUAUGUGAUCUAUUCUGGAGAAUGUCCCAUGAGUACUUGGGAAAAAUGUGUAUUCUGUUGUUUUAGGAUGGAAUGUUUUGAAUAUAUCAGGUCCAGUGUGUCAUUAAAAGCCAUUGUUUCCUUGUUUGUUUUCUGUUUAGAUGAUCUGUGCAUUGAUGCAAGUGGAGUGUUAAAGCCCUCUACUAUUAUUGUAUCAGUAUCAAUUUGUUCCUUUAUGUUUAUUAUUAUUUUAUAUAUUUGGGGGCUGCCAUGUUGGGUGAAAAAAUAUUUACAGUUGUUAGAUCUUCUUGUUGGAUUGUCCCUUUUAUUAUGAUGUAAUGCCCUCCUUUAUCUGUUGUUACAACCUUUGUUUUAAAGUCUAGUUUGUCCAAUAUAAGUAUUGCUUUCUUUUGCAUUCAUUAGUGUGACAGACGUUUCUCCAUCCCCUCACUUUCAGUCUGCAGGUGUCUUUCAGUCCAAAAUGAGCCUCUUGUAGGCAGCAUAUAGAUGUGUCUUCUUUUUUGUCCAUUCUGACACCCUAUGUCUUUUGAUUAGAGCAUUUAGUCCACUUACAUUCAAAGUAACUACUGAUUUAUAUUUACUGUCAUUUUAUUACUUGUUGUUUCUGAAGAUUUUCUGUAAUCCUUUCUUGUCUUUGUUACUUUUAGUCUCUCCUUUCCACUCAGUGAGUUCCCUUUAAUAUUUCUCGCAGGGCUGGUUUAGUGGUCAUGAACUCCUUUAGUUUUUGUUUAUCUAGGAAACUUUAUCUCUCCUUCUAUUCUGAAUGAUGGCUUUGCUGGACAGAGUAUGCUUGGUUUUUUUCUGUUCAGCAGAUUCAGAUUUUUCCUAUUCAGCACUGUAAAUAUAUCAAACCAUCCCCUUCUGGCUUGCCAUGUUUCUGUUGAGAAACCUCCAGUAAGCCUUAUGGGUCUUCCCUUGUAAGUUAAGGAUGGCUUUUGCCUUGGUGCUUUUAAGAUUUUUUUCUUUUUCACUAUAUUUUGCAAAUUUACUUAUAAUAUGUCUUGGUGUUGACCUGCUUUUGUUGAUUUUGAUGGGAGUUCUCUGUGCCUCCUGGAUCUGGAUAUCUGUUUCCUUUUCAGCUAUCACAUCCUUAAGUAAUUUUCUGCCCCCUUUUUUUCUCUCUUCUUCUUCUGGGAUUGUCAUUACAUUUGAUAGAGUCACUGACUUCCCUAAGUCUAUUCUCAUGUUCCAUAAUUCUUUCUCUCCUUUGUUCAACUUCAUUAUUCUCCAUUAUUUUGUCUGCUAGGUCACUAAUUUGUUCCUCUGCUUCUUCCAGCCUGCUCUUUAUUGUAUCAAGCCUGUUUCCAAUCUCAUUUUUUAAACUCUUUUAUCUCUGUGGUAAGGGUAUCCCUGAUUUCUAUCCUUUCUCAAGCCCAGUGAGUAUCCUUAUGAUUGUUGCUUUAAAUUCUCCAUCAGGCAUGUUACCAUAUCUAUUUUGCUUAGAUCUCUGGCCAUGGCCUAAUCUUAUCCUCUCAUUUGGGAUAAAUUCCUCCAUCUUGGCAUUUUGUCUAGGUCUCUGCCUUCAUCUGUGUAUUAGAAAAGACAGUUAUGUUUUCUGCUGUUCAACAUAAUGUCUUUAUGAAGAAGAGCUCAUGUAGUGUCCACAGCCUGGCACUUCAGGGAGUGUCUCUGGUGUGUGCUGCCUGCACUCUGCUGUUGUGUUGUGGCUUCUCUGUCCUUCAGGCUGGUCAUCUGCAGAGGCUCUCCUCGCCUGUUGUGGGCAGUGUUUGGUCCUUGGCCUGAGUGUGGUGAGCUUUAACUAGGUGUGCUCCGGUCUGCUUGUGAAGUGAUAUCUGAUACUACUUUCAGGAGAACUAAUGCCCUGCAGGACUCUCUGGUUGGGAGAUGUGGUGUGGGCAGGGGUUUGUGCUGGUUUUCUGGGGAAAGGGCCCGCCCCAUUGCGAUAAAGGCAAACUUGGCAGAGAGGGGUAGUUUCACCACAGCACAUGGGGUUGGGGCUUGGUAUAAGCAAGUUAGGCAGCCAGUGUAGGUGCUGGCCUGCUUCCUGCAGGUGGCUCUAUCUUUAUGCUGAGGGGUGGGGGAGGGAAAUGGCUCCGGUCAGCUCCUUUUUUCCCUUAAGAGGUGUCUCCAUGAACACUGCCUCUCAGAGACAUGCUCCAAGAAAUCAAAUAAUCUCCCAGCUGUGUACCCCAGGCGUUUUUCAGAUCACUGUUUCCAUGCUGUCUGCUUCUGGGGUUUUUUGCCUGCCUACUUUCCAGGAGCAGCACAGUGCCCUCCGUGCUCUAUCUCAGUCAAACUGUUGACUUUUAAAACUCUAGACUUUAAGCCCCACUAGUUGCAAGAACUCACGAAAUUUAGCCCCUCUCAUUUCCAAGCCAAUGGCUUUGGGGAAACUUUCUCCUUGUGCAUUCCCCUGCGUGCUCCUCUCUCUCUCACUCUUCUCUGUGUCCAUGGCUCCCUCCUCUCCACAGUACCCACGAUCCAUUUCUCCCCUAAACUACAUCUCUGCACUUCCUAUCAUCCUUGAUGUGGCCUCUUCUCUCCCAUUAGUCAAGGAGUUUGUUCUGCCAGGCUUCAGGUCUAUUUCUGGGGUAUUUAGGAUGAUUUAAUAAUUAUCUAGUUGUAUUCAUGGGAUGAGACAAGCCUCAGGUCCUUCUACUCCACCAUCAUCUCCCCUCUCCUAUAAGCCAGUUCUUCCUGUUAUUGGUAUCUCCUUCAGGUAUCAAGGAGUCACAGAAGGCACGGGGCAUGGAAAGGUCACAAGAGGCUGACAUCAGUCACCUACUACAGUUUUCGUGUACAAUGUUCUUCAUAGAUUAUGGAUACAAAUCCUUUAUAAGAUACAUGAUUUGAAAAUAUUUUCUAUCAGGCUAGGGCUUGUCUUUUAACUUUAAUGGUAUCUACUGAAAAACAAAAGUUUUAACAUUUUGAUGCAGUCCAAUUUAUCAAUUCUUCUUUUAUAGAUCAUGAUUUUAAUGUUACAUCUAAGAAAUCAUUGCCGGGGCACCUGGGUGGCUCGGUCAGUUGAGCGUCCGGCUUCGGCUCAGGACAUGAUCUCGCGGUUUGUGAGUUCAAGCCUCGCAUUGGGCUCUGUGCUGACAGCUCGGAGCCUGGAGCCUGCUUUGAAUUCUGUGUCUCCCUCACUCUCUGCUCCUCCCCCACUCAUGCUUUGUCUCUCUCUCUCCUUCAAAAAUUAAAAAAAAAAAAAAAAAACACUAAAAAAAAAAAAAGAAAGAAAUCAUUGCCUAACACAAUUUCAAAAAUAUUUUAGCUCACAUUUCCACUAGAAUUUUUACAGAUUUAUCUCUUACAUUUAGGUUUAUGAUCCGUUUUUCGUUGAUUUCUGUGUAUGGUGUCCUGUAAAGAUUUAAGAUUAUUAUUAUUGCUAUUAUUAUUGCUUUCUUUGCAUAUGAAUAUCUAAUAAUUCUAUUGCCAUUUGUUGAAAAAAAUAUCCUUUCCCCAUUGAAUUUCUUUGGCUCUGUCAAAAAACAAUGACCAUAAAUAUUAGGUUUAUUUCUGAACUUUCUAUACUGUUCCAUUGAUCUAUAUGUCAAUUUUUAUGCUGAUCAUACUGCCUUGAUUAUUGUAGCUUUAUAAUAAGUUCUGAAGUUUAUAAUAAGUUCUGAAGUUCCCCUUUGUUCUUUUCUAAGUCAUUAUCCCUGUACUACUUCUUCCACUGUAGGCAAUGGUUUAAUUUCUAAUCCUAGAAGAUUAUGAAAGAAGAGAUCAUCUUUUCCUUUACACCUCUCUCAUGUGUUAGGAUCUUCUUACUGGCUCUUAUGUAAAUCAGUUUUUGCAACAUAACAUACCACCUCAGAACUAGUGGCUUAAUAGAACACACAUUUAUUUAGCCCACAACCCCAGGAGUCAGCAAUUUGGGAUGUGCUCAGCUGAGCAAUUUGUUUUUCUCUGGCUCUUUUUCAUGUGUCUGUGGUCAGCUGCCAGCCCCUUUGGUAGUUCUCCUUCCGGAGGUUGACUGGAUGGCAGCUGGGGCAGUGGUGGGUAACUGGGUCAUGUGUUUCUCACCAUCCACCAGGGUAGCCUGAGCUUGUUUCCAUGGUGGCAGAGUACCAACAACUCUAGAAGGAAAACUUUUCAAUUCUCUGCUAGCGUAUCCUCUGUCCCAUUGGCCAAAACCAGUAACAAAGCCAAGACUAACAAUAAUUUGGAAGAGUUUUGCCAAAAGUGAAUACAAGGAUGUAUGAACUAAUCGAAGGCACUGCUGGGGUCAAUCUACCACAGCUUUUGGCAACAUGGUGAAAUUACCCGUUUCAAAUAUGAAGAGAACCAAGUUUCUCUUUAGCAAACCAGUUUAGCAAAAUUUAGCAAACCAGUUAUUUCAAAGUAACAGUUUUGGGUCAUUGGGACUUAUUCUUCCACAGAUUUCCAAUCCAUAGAGCCCACAUCUCAUCCAGUAGCUAACACCAAAGACUAAGGACAUAGGGAAAGAAAAUGGUUCCUUAUAAUUUUCCUUAGGAUCACAAAACUUUUAGAUUGGGGAAACUAAAAGAGUCCAAAAUAUUUCCUCAAUUAGAACAUUUAGGGACCUUCAAUUCCAACCCUUCCUAUCUUAACAUAAUUUACUUUUAGAACAGAAUAAUCUUAGAGAUCUUCAGGAUCAUAAAGACCAAAUCUGAAGGUUGUACCUUAGAGCUUCAUUGAAAGGGUAGUGCUCUUUACCUGACUAAGUCUAAGCACCAGGGCAUCCUGACAUUAGGAUUCACCACUCCUGUAUAAAUAAUCAAACCACACAAGUGUUUUCCUGUAUUUUUUUCUGGAAAAAACAUCACAAGCAGCUAUUAGCGUUUUGGUAAGAGAUGAAGCUUUAAUUCCUAAUUCAUAAUAGUCAAAAUUAAAUCAUUUUUAUCUUUUUUUCUCACUAUCUAUGUUAGACUCUCUGCUGCCAUCACUGUUAUGAAAACAUUUGGAAUAUUUUAGCAAAUGCGUGGGCUUGGAAGUAGAUGAGAGGCAGGAAGCUGCACGGUCUGGGCUCAGAUUGGUGAGUUAAGAUUACCUGCUUCAAGCUGUAAGUAUUUGGUGAAUAGUUUCAGUAUGUUAGAACAGUAGCUAUGGAUUAAAUAUAUUCUUGAAAAAAAUUUUUAAUGUUUAUUUUUGAGAGAGAGAGAGAGAGAAUGAGUGGGGGAGGGACAGAGAAAGAGAAAGACAGAAUCCAAAACAGUCUCCAGGCUCUGAGCUGAUAGCACAGAGCCCAACAUGGGGCUCAAACCCACAAACCGUGAGAUCAGGACCUGAGCCGAAGUUGGACGCUUAACAACUGAGCCACCUAGACGCCGCUAAAUGUAUUCUUUGGGUCAACCAGGAAAACUCACCACCUGUGACAUUAUAUUGAAAACAAUAAUUUAGCAAAUAGCUUUGCAAAUAUAAUCUCUUUGAAAACUGGGGUAAAUCUGAGUUGUCUUUAUUUCAGAACAUUAUAGAUAAAAGCUGGAUCAAUAUGAGAAUUUGGGAAGACUUUUCUGGCUAACCUAACCAAUUAAAUCAAUUCCAUCCAGGCAAUAUAAGUAAAGUUGAUUUUCUACUCCUCAGGCAAGUUUUUUGAUGAAAGUGAUUAUUUUAGUAUUUUAUGGUGGGACUGCAGAUGUGGAACUGGACCCUACAAAUUUAAGUCAUUGCCAGUCCAGAUCACUUCAGGUGCCUAGUAAGACUAGUUGCUGUUUUUGUUUGUUUGUUUGUUUUUUAAGGUUUAUUUAUUUAUUCUGAGAGAGAGACAGCAUGAGUUGGGGAGGAGCAGAGAAAGAGGGAGAAAGAGAAUCCCAAGCAAGCUCUGAUACAGGGCUCAAACCCACAAACUGUGAGAUAUGACCUCAGCCGAAACCAAGAGUUGGAUGCUUAACUAACUGAGCCACCCAGGCACCCCAGGACUAGUUUCUUAAUGUUGGUCGUCCUGGCUGUCAUUGUAUAAAGAAGCUUCUGAGGAAGUGAAGGCUUGUCCUUCGUCAGAGAUAGGUGUAGUUGCCGCCUUGUAGAAUGGAGGUUUAAUUGAAUCACCUGCGGGCUUCAGACUCUGUUUAAAUACGUGGAUGAAACAAGAAAGAUGAUGCCUGACAAAGACGAGUGGCUUUGUUAAUUAAAUUAGCAGUGGAAAAUUUACAAGCUUUAAUUAGUAUAAAAUAAGCCACAGAAAUAAAGAUAGUGAUUAAAGCAGACUAAUCUGAUUAGAAUCACAAUGUGCGUUGUUACAGGCUAGUUGAUGGUAGAGACUCCCCAGCGGAGUCUGGCCAGAUGCAGGAACCCACUUGGAAGAAAAGGGUACUUUGCACCCAAGCCUGGAGCUGCCUGUUGGAUUGCUAAAUCAUUUGGCGGUGGGGGGGCGAUUAUGCCAGAAAAACACUGUGAGAAGCGUGGGCACUGGUGAAUUGAUAAAAGCCUUCUUUCUGGGAGAAAGCCUAUAAAAUCCAUGACCACCUGCAGUGAAGGGAGCUAAAAUUAAACUUCAGAACCCUCACUAGCUGAGCAAGAUUUCACCCCGCCUCUCAAAACUUCAAACUUAUGAAAAGUCUGGAGAGUCAGAAGGUGGUUAAGUUGUCCAUACUUUCUUAGUUCACACCCACACAAUGAAAGCAGUGUCCAUUCGAGACAUUUAGACAAAGAAUAUCCAAGUAUCCUGUGUGUUGAGAGAAAUGUUAAAUUCAAUGCAGUACAAAUCACAACAUUAAAUUACCAUGUAAAUCCUCUCCAAUGUUCAGUUUCUUGAUCUAACUUCUAUCAAAUUAAUUUUAGUUUAUGAGUGUAGGUAGAUGGAAACUGUCCAUUUCCCUUCCAGCAAUUCCCAGUUCUCCCCCUAUUUUCUGGUUUGUAAAGCUUCCAAUCACCUCAAAGCCGAAUGCUAAAACAGGUCACGUGUCUCCAUUAUUUUCUAUGUGCAUAUGCGGCAUCGUGCAUGAGGCUCUCGUAAUAUUUAGUCAUGCACCAACAGAAACCGUGACAGAACUUCACUUUUCAAACAAAUCAUAACCAAAGUUUUUAGAAGAUAUUCAAUUAUAUAUUAAAUAAAAUGGCCUGGUUUAUAUUGACUUAGGCUUCUAAUAUUUGGUAUCAACUAUUGUAAAUGUUUAUUCCUUCAGUAUGGGUUUAUUACAAGAAUAGAUUUUCCUUCGGUGUUGCAAAUGCUGAGACAUAAGAAGAAAUUCAUUUUAAGUGGCUCGUCUUAUGACAGAAGGUUAUGGCCAUUUCAAAUCAAAUCAUUUAAAAAAAUAGACAUUUUUAUUGUUAAUUUGAUGGCAUAGAUUUCAGCCACAAUUGUGUCACCGUGGUCUACUGAGAUGAUUUAGUUCAAAAUAAACCAACAUUCUUCACUAUAGAGUUUUCAUUAAAAAUAUCUACUAAAAGAAGAGAAUUUUCUUUGGUGCUUAUGGUUAGAAUACAAAAAGGUGGAGUGAACGACUGCCAAAAUAUACUUGGAUUAAGUUUAUUAAUUCACUUCGUUAUCUGUAUCUAAUUCAUCAAUUAUAAUUCACAAUAUAUAAUUGAUGGCUAUCACAAAAGAUGAUAUGAAAUUCAAUUUCAAUUGCACUGCUAUGCAUUUGAUAACAGAAAUGUUUUUUUCUCAGCCAAUGAAUGUUUGUUGAGAACCCCAGAAGAUGCAGUGUUCUGUCCUGUGCGUUGGUAUCUUUUUCAAAGAAUAUAUGUGAUCUGGUGAAUAGAUAGGAUACUUAUCUUUCUUAGAUUUUUAAUAGAGACACACUGCUAAUGUGUAUUCAUAUUCAAUACAGAUAUGUAGAGAUACAAAUAAUAGCUAGGUAGGACAUUGAUUCUUUAAGUUCAGAGUCUGUUCUCCCUUUCUCCCUCUCUUCUCAGUCUGAAAGCUCUUAGGUGGGGCUGAGCAAAGCGGGCAGCUGUAAGUGGCAAAGGCAGUGACACAGGACAGGUGUUGCUUGAGCAGGUCAAGGAUGGUGUCUGCACUGACUGGGGUGGGAAGUGGAAGCCCCACUGAGAGGGGUUGGGAUAAGCAGUUUUCCUGCACAGGGAAGGACAGGUGGAACGCUUACGGAAGCCCCAGAAAUGGGUGGAGAAGACCGACUGGGUGAAGAGUCCACCUGUGGGAUGAUUAUGGCCUGGCCUGUGGCGAUGGGGCUGUGGAGGGUGCAAAGGGCAUGUGCAUAGCCUGCCAAGGAAUACAGAGCCCAAGAGGGAGGAGGAGGCUCCCUGUGUGCGGGCACCGGUGGUGUGAGCCACCAUGGGAUAUAAGGGCUGAGAACAAAGUGAGGAGGGCACCCUGGUGGGAGACAAAGGUGAUGGCAGCAGCAUCUGUGUGCAGAUUGGAGCCCUGCAUGCAGACGGCACCUGUGCAGGGGUGAGGCGACUGUGGAGGGGGUGGUAAGAGAGCAUCCACAUGGGAUUAGUGGUGCAGUGGUUUGCUGGGGGCACUGGUCACCCUGCGGCGACUGAGUGAAUAAGAGAGUAUAAUGAAGAUAAAGAGAGACAAGUUUCUCAUUGUAAGAAACUGAGAAAGAUAAAAAAAAAAAAAAUGGAACAAACCCAUGGGGUUAAUUUGGAAUUAUGGUAUUGGUUUGAACUCAUGGUUUUCAGUAUAUAAGUAUAGAUAGAUAUAUACCUAUAUAAAUAAAUAUUGAUCAGGAUGUGGGUGUGUGUGUACAUCUAUAUCAUAUGUGCAUGCACACACACACAUAUAUUUGCUACCUGUAUCCAAAGAGAGAGCUUAAGAGCAAUGAUAUUCUUGUGUCACCCAGAUGCUGAAACCUAAAAUCCAUGCUCCAGUAAAAGAACUGGGAUGCCUUGGAGAAAUGGCUGAUUCUAGGACGGAUCAGGAUAAUUACAUAAUAAAUGUGAGGUAGCUCAUUAUGAUGGAAGAUAAGGAAGUACUCAAAAGAAAGAAGAGGACAUUUCAAAAAGACAUAGAAAUCCAGAUGGCCAAACAAGAGACAGGUUUAGCAUCAAAACAAAUAAUAAUAGUAAACAUGUUCCUUACAGUAGACUACCAACUGCUUAAGGUAUAAAAAGUAAGAGGAAAACCAUGUGGCAACCAUCGUAAUAAUAAUUCAGGUAAGAAACAUCAAUGGAUGCAAUGAAGUGGUAGAAAAUUUGAUGAAGGGUAGAAUAGGCUCUUAAAUUACCUUCACAAAGCAAUGAAGAGUAAUUUCUUCGGUAAAGAAAUCUGCCACACAAAACUUAACCAAGUGAUCAAGGUGAACAUUAACAUACAGGACAAAGCAAAAUGACAUAGCGCUUGAUAGGGUACAAUGAGACCAUAGCAUCACAUUCGCGAUAUCUCUGCCAAAAACAGAUAACCCAAACAUAAUCAUGAAGAAACAUCAGACAGCCAGAGUGGAAGAUACUUAUCUGAACAACUGGCAUGUAAUUUUCAAAGUUACCAAUGUCAUGAAAGCCAAGGAAACCCCAAGGAACCGUUUGAGAUUGCAGCAGAUUCAAGAAACAUGGUCACCAAAUAGGGUCCUCAAUUGGAACCUUUUGCUAAAACACAUACUCUUGCCCAGUUGGGGAAGCUUGUAUGUGGAUUAAAUGGUGGUAAUAAAUUAAUAUUAAGUUCUUUAUUUUGUUUAUUUAUUAAAAAAAUUUUUAAUGUUUAUUUUUGAGAGAAAGAGAGAGAGGGAGAGAAAGAGACAGAGUGUGAGCAAGGAAGGGGCAGAGAGAGAGGAAGACACAGAAUCUAAAGGAGGCUCCAGGCUCCGAGUUCUUGCACAGAGCCCGCCUCUGGCCUCCAACUCAUGAGCUGUGAGAUCAUGACCUGAGCUGAAGCUGGUCGCUUAACUGACUGAGCCACCCAGACAUCCCCUAGGUUCUUUAUUUUGAUUAUUAUAUUGGGACUUUGCAGGAGAAAAUAUUACUUGUAGGAAGUACAUUCUAAAAUAACUGAAGGUAACAGGACAUAGAGGCAGCAAAACUAUUCUGAAUGUUUGAAAUCAUUUCAAAUCAUUUCAUUGAAAAAAAUAUAUCAGGAGUCUAAAAUAGUCUGUUUUCCAGAGCUGCCUGUGUUAUGACCUGGCUGUUUGAGGGAGGAGGACAAAUCACUUCAACUCUUUAUGUUUCUAUUUCUUCACCUCUUAAAUAAGGGAGUUGGACUAAAGCACCUCAAAUCUCUCUAGAGGUCUAAUACCAUCAGGUUCUCAGGUGUCAAUCAGGAACAUUGUACUUAGGGGUUAGGCAAGAAGGGGUAAGUGGUAAAAAGCUCUGGAAGAGGAAUCAUCCUGGUUGCAUUUUGUGAGAGUGGAGAUUCGCUGUGUGCCAGAAAGAGGAAGAGGGAUUGUGCAGGCAAGGAAAGUGCUCAAGCAUACAGUCUGAGCAGAAGUUACACAACAGGAAGAGACAAGAUCUUAUCUUUUUGCUGAAAGACUUCUUGAUUCCCCUCCCUCUCUUCAUCCCACCUUCCUUCCUCCCUCUAGCAGUUAUUAAGCAGUUCCCACAUUCAAGGCACUGGGUGAAAUACUGUGGAGGGUAGAGGCAGAAAGGAUAGUUUCUGCUCUCAAAUUGUCUUCAGUCUGGUAGAAGAGGAAACACACAGAUAAAGCAACAGCAACCACAACACCAAAAUCCCCCCCAAACUCUGCUUAAACUACACCAAGUUUGCCACUCUGAGGUUCAGAAUUGAAUUAACCUCUUUCUCGUUCAACAAUCAUUCUCCCUCCCCUCCCCCAAAGCAUUCUUUCCCCUUAUUUGAUAGUUUUAUAGACUAGGUGACAUGUGGCAUUGAUAGCUGUAUGUUUUAUCAGGAAAAAAAUAAGCCUUGGUCAAGUGAGCAGUACUCUACAGACUAUCUGCUUAAUGCCUCUAGGAAUAAAAUGGAAUUUAUCUCUUUGAUUUUUAAACCUCAGAGAAACUCUGCUUCCCUUUUCCUACCACAGGAAAAACUGCAAUUUAACAAUUGAUACAUGAAAUGAUUAAUUUUAUUAGGGUGAAAUUGUGAAAUAAAAUACAAUGUGGAUUGGGUUCCUCUUAAUAUAAGUCAUCUUUUUAAGCUGGUAAAAUAAUAAUAUGUAUUAAUUUAUACAAUAUUGUUAUAACACUGUACUGUGCAUUAUAUUGUAACAUCAGGGAAUUUAUAUGUAUGCCACUGAAAAUCAGUAAGGGACUUAAUCCACAAAAUCCAUAUUAUUUUCUUUAUCAGUCGUUUUGGAAAAGACAGAAAAUUAUAGUGCUUGAAUAAAAUAUGUUUUUAAAACGAAUUUUCCAAAUAAAAUUUCCCCUAAUGUUCAUCCUUGUUCAUUAAGCCCACAUAAAAGGGACCAAAGCAGCCAUUAAGUGGAGGUUCAAUGGCUCUCUGUUUAAAGCGAACGCUACGGUUCCAACCCAUAAUGUGUCGAUUGUUUUGGAAAAUGCUAAUUGUUAAAUUGAUUGUGAUAUUCAUGUUCUGGCACUCCAGUUGAACACUGCACAAUGCCCCAUGUGAUGAUGGAGAAGAGCUUGCUGUUUGAUGCACAGUGCUUGGCAUGUCCACGUCUAUCUCAGUUGUGAAAGGUUGUUUCAGGGCCUUGUUUUUCUAAAUGUGAACGGCUCAGACAAGAGAACGGUAACACAAGAUACUAAAUUAUGCUUACUCCUUUCAUCAGUGAAGUCGCUCAGAUGAAUAGAUGGGGAGCAAGGAAACUGCAUGUUACAUAUUUAUAGUGGAUUCUGAGGGUGGCUGAGAAAGCCAACGCAGCAUGGUUGAGUGCAGGAUGUACCCGGAGUUGGGAACGUGGUUCUGGUCCUGCUCUGGCUCUCUCUGACUGUGAUAUUGGCACGUUACUCUUUGGGAUCUUAUCUAAGAAGAGAGGAUCAGGACAAAAUAUUUUCUGAGUCCCUUCCAGUGCUUUUACUAUGAAAUAUCACUAUGUUAAAUUUCUCGCUUGUUAUGGCACUUAAUAUGGAAAACACUGACAAAUAACUUCCAAGUAAUUUUUCAUCAGAUAGAUACCAAGUCCCUUUUAUGUUCUGAGAACUGUGUCUAUACCAAAAGUGUAGGAUUAAUACAUGUAGCAUGUGUUAUCAGGAGUGUAUAAUUCAGCCUAAUACUGGCAGACUAAUGAUAAAUUUAGGGCGGUGAUAUUAUAACAAGUCCCAUAAUAUAACUAAAUGUAAUGCACGAUCCCAGAUUUGAUGCUCAAACAGAAAAUAAAUAUUGCUAUAAUGAACAUUGUUGGAAAAAUUAUACUGAAUUAAUAUCAAAUUUCCUGAGGGAGAUAAUUGUAUUGUGGUUAUUUGAGAGAAUAUCCUGGUUCUUAGGAGAGACAUGCUGACAUAUUUGGGGUCAUGAUAUCUGCAACCCAGUCCCAAAUGAUUCAGUAAAAUGUAUGUUUAUACACACACGCUUAUACAUAUGUAUGAGAGAGGCUGAAAGCAAACACAGGAGAAUGUUUACAAUCGGUGAAAGUAGUAUAUGGAUAUUCCCCACCCCCCCCCCCCCCCCUUUUUUUGAGAGAGAGACAGCAAGAGGGGAGAGGAGGGGCAGAGGGAGAGAGAGAGAACCUCAAGUAGGCUCCACGCUCAGUGUGAAGCCUGACGCGGAGCUUGAUCCCAUGACCCUGGGAUCAUGACUUGAGCCAAAAUCAAGAGCCAGGUGCUCAAUGGACUGAGCCACCCAGGUGCUGGGUAUUGCUUUAUGAUUCUUAAAUCUUUUCUGAACAUAAUAGCUAGAAAAAGUAAUGUGUGAUAAAAUGUUACAGGAAUGCAAGGAUAAUUGCAUGCAAGAUUAUUAUAAUAGCUAGUCUAAUAAAACAGGAUGUUAAACCAUCUCAUUUUAUAAGUCUGCGGCCCCACAGAUGAAACAUAUUGGUGACAAGUGUCCAGUGAUUGAUUGUGAAGAGUAGCUCCAUUCUCAUCCCCCCCCCCCACUGGACAAGGUAAGAUGUGGCCCUGAUCAUGUCCAGCUCAUUGGUUUCUUCCAGCUCAUAGGCAAGAAGAUUAUUCUGAGGCACAAGAAUGGUUAAGUAACUUGCCCGAGGUCACACAGUAGGUGUGACCAAGGAGUCAAAAUCAGGCUUUGCCAAGUGGUCUCCUACCUUUACCACUCUAUAGUGCCUCUAAUAAUCUUAUGUGAACUCAGUUUGGAUGUUUCAUGUUUUCUUUUUCUUCUUUCUGUCUACUUUUUCAAGUUUAGUUUGGAACAAAAAUGUCCAAAGGAGCUCAAACCAUGGUUGGAUUAUUAUUAGUGAAUUAGACAAAUUGAAACUUUGCUGAUUGGAUUACUUCCACAGAACCCUGAUCGUUGUGAUUUGGCCUGUCAUAAUGAUUGUAAAUGGUUAUCAGUGAUUUAUCUGGUCAUUGAUUUUGAAGACUUUUAGAGCAAUAAGAUCUAGUAUAUGUAGCAAAUUGGGUCUUUAAGUAUAUUUUUUAAUGCAUAUAAAAUCUGUAUAUCUUAAAGGAAAUAACAUCCAAUUCAUCAUGAGGAGAACUGAGAUUAAAAUAGGAAGACUGAUAUUGAGCACACCUUCUCCGAGCUUUUCUCAGCGCUACUCUUAUAGGAAUGGUGUCUCAGGAAAGAUGUUAGAUCAGCUUGAGACUUAAGACUUCAUUUUGAGUUUAGGGAGCUGUAAGUAUUUUGGAAGAUACUCAGGAAUAAAGUCAUGAAAUUUUCUUUUCAUGUUCAUAAAAAUAUAAGGCACCAUCACUUAGACAAAGACACUUUGGGGUGAAAAUGGUGAAUGCUCAAGAGCCUUUAGAAAAAUUAUCUACAAGGGUGCUUUACUAUUAGAAGAGGAACUGGCAUGGGAGGAGAGAGGUUACACUUUAAACUUAAAGGAAUAUGGUAAUCUUUGGAUUCUGCAAUUUGGAGCAAACUAGUCUUGCAUUUUAUUCCUCUGAUGUUUGUUUCUUUUCACUGUGAAGAUUCAACCUUCAAAGCAGAACCUGACAGGUUGUGCUCUGCUCAUCCAGCCUUCUGGGCAUCUGUCCUCAGGUGAAUUAUAGCAGCAAAUCUGGGAGUUCACUCCUGUUCUCGGUGCUCGUUCAUCUCAACCGAGUGGCAGCAGAGGCCUUAAAUGAGCCAUAGAGAAGUGCGUGCCACAAACAUCUUCAACUGGGAGUUUUGAAUAAUGUUACUUUUAGGUUUUCAAAAAAGUUUUCUCCUGUUCAUCACGAAGCCUAAUGAAAGCCUAUUUUGCAUUCUGAGAGGAGGAAUUGUAAUGUGAAAAUGUCUCAGAAUCCAAAUUAUUUAAGCAGUAAUCCAAAGAAGUUCCUUGUCAGAAGCAAUAUUAUUUUGUACGUGCUAGAGAAGAGGAACCCUUGAGCGCUAUCCCCCCAGAACUCUUGAACAGUGACUGGUGUGUAUAUAUCGUGAAGAGAGUUACGCCAUUAAUUCUUGAUACGUAACGCAUUCCUUUCUUUGUAUCUGAUAUUAUUUUUAAUAGUAUUUCUGUCAAUUCUCUUGAGAUAACAAGUUGUCUACAUUGGAGACAUUUUUAUUCAUUUUGUCUGAAAUUUAUACCUUUUCCUCAUUUUACUUUCUUUUUUUCAGUUUCACUGAGAUGUAAUUGAUAUACAGCACUCUACAAGGUUAAGGUGUACAGCAUAAUGACUAGACUUACACAUGUUGUGAAAUGAUUCCCACAAUAGGUUUAGUUAACAUCCAAUAUCUCAUAUAAAUACAAAAAAAAAAAAANNNNNNNNNNNNNNNNNNNNNNNNNNNNNNNNNNNNNNNNNNNNNNNNNNNNNNNNNNNNNNNNNNNNNNNNNNNNNNNNNNNNNNNNNNNNNNNNNNNNNNNNNNNNNNNNNNNNNNNNNNNNNNNNNNNNNNNNNNNNNNNNNNNNNNNNNNNNNNNNNNNNNNNNNNNNNNNNNNNNNNNNNNNNNNNNNNNNNNNNNNNNNNNNNNNNNNNNNNNNNNNNNNNNNNNNNNNNNNNNNNNNNNNNNNNNNNNNNNNNNNNNNNNNNNNNNNNNNNNNNNNNNNNNNNNNNNNNNNNNNNNNNNNNNNNNNNNNNNNNNNNNNNNNNNNNNNNNNNNNNNNNNNNNNNNNNNNNNNNNNNNNNNNNNNNNNNNNNNNNNNNNNNNNNNNNNNNNNNNNNNNNNNNNNNNNNNNNNNNNNNNNNNNNNNNNNNNNNNNNNNNNNNNNNNNNNNNNNNNNNNNNNNNNNNNNNNNNNNNNNNNNNNNNNNNNNNNNNNNNNNNNNUUUUUUUUUUUUUUUCCUUCCCCUCCCCCAUGGGUUUCUGUUAAGUUUCUCAGGAUCCACAUAAGAGUGAAACCAUAUGGUAUCUGUCUUUCUCUGUAUGGCUUAUUUCACUUAGCAUCACACUCUCCAGUUCCAUCCACGUUGCUACAAAGGGCCAUAUUUCAUUCUUUCUCAUUGCCACGUAGUACUCCAUUGUGUAUAUAAACCACAAUUUCUUUAUCCAUUCAUCAGUUGAUGGACAUUUAGGCUCUUUCCAUAAUUUGGCUAUUGUUGAGAGUGCUGCUAUAAACAUUGGGGUACAAGUGCCCCUAUGCAUCAGUACUCCUGUAUCCCUUGGGUAAAUUCCUAGCAGUGCUAUUGCUGGGUCAUAGGGUAGGUCUAUUUUUAAUUUUCUGAGGAACCUCCACACUGCUUUCCAGAGCGGCUGCACCAAUUUGCAUUCCCACCAACAGUGCAAGAGGGUUCCCGUUUCUCCACAUCCUCUCCAGCAUCUAUAGUCUCCUGAUUUGUUCAUUUUGGCCACUCUGACUGGCGUGAGGUGAUAUCUGAGUGUGGUUUUGAUUUGUAUUUCCCUGAUGAGGAGCGACGUUGAGCAUCUUUUCAUGUGCCUGUUGGCCAUCCGGAUGUCUUCUUUAGAGAAGUGUCUAUUCAUGUUUUCUGCCCAUUUCUUCACUGGGUUAUUUGUUUUUCGGGUGUGGAGUUUGGUGAGCUCUUUAUAGAUUUUGGAUACUAGCCCUUUGUCCGAUAUGUCAUUUGCAAAUAUCUUUUCCCAUUCCGUUGGUUGCCUUUUAGUUUUGUUGGUUGUUUCCUUUGCUGUGCAGAAGCUUUUUAUCUUCAUAAGGUCCCAGUAAUUCAUUUUUGCUUUUAAUUCCCUUGCCUUUGGGGAUGUGUCGAGUAAGAGAUUGCUACGGCUGAGGUCAGAGAGGUCUUUUCCUGCUUUCUCCUCUAGGGUUUUGAUGGUUUCCUGUCUCACAUUCAGGUCCUUUAUCCAUUUUGAGUUUAUUUUUGUGAAUGGUGUGAGAAAGUGGUCUAGUUUCAACCUUCUGCAUGUUGCUGUCCAGUUCUCCCAGCACCAUUUGUUGAAGAGACUGUCUUUUUUCCAUUGGAUGUUCUUUCCUGCUUUGUCAAAGAUUAGUUGGCCAUACAUUUGUGGGUCUAGUUCUGGGGUUUCUAUUCUAUUCCAUUGGUCUAUGUGUCUGUUUUUGUGCCAGAAGUAUUUGUCUUUAUCUUAUGUCACUUAGCAUAAUGCCCUCAAGGUCCAUCCAUGUUGUUAAAAAUGACAAAAUUUCCUUCUUUUUUUUUUUAUGGUUGAAUAGAUAUUUUCCUUUUGCUGUUAUCCUGUGACAAAUACAGGCCAUAAUAUGAAUUAACCGUUGGUUGCAUUUAAUUGAUUUAUUAUAUAACGCUUGCUUUACUUUCUGGUUGGUUCAUGUAUACAAGUACUGUUUCUGUUCAGUUUGGGAGACAUGCUGGGGCCUCAACAGAGAGGGGGGGAAUUAAAGUUAUACAUAGGAUCAGGCUAAUGGAAUUCUCCUGUGGAGAGCUGGUGGUCUGUACACGGGGAAGGCUGGUGUUUUAUAUAACAGUGCCCAGGAAACAGUGGUGACCUUGGUGACAAUCCAGGUAGGGUUGCUGUCCAAGGGAUCUAAUCAGUUGAAUAGGACAUGGACACAGGCAGUCACCAGACAGGGGUAAAGAUGCAGUUACAAAGAUGUGAUCACCUUAGUUUCAGGGAGUUCUAGCUUUAAGGAAGGUCACAGCCAGAAAUUUAAGGGUGGAGGGAGUAUGCCUAGUCCCUGAGGUUAGAAGUUUGUUGGUAAAGUCUUAAUGCAUUUGAGGUCUAACCAAAAGGGCUAAAUUUCAGGGCAGAACCCCAGCCCCGGUGGCAGAAAUAGUAGGCUCUCUCCAGAAUGCAAAGGGUCUUCAAGAUAAAUUCAGACUGUGACCAGACCUUAGUCUAAGCUGGUGACUGGAUUAUGGAUACUGAGUUGGGUCAGAAAAAUAAAUUCCAUUUUUCUUUGUUGGUAGUCCUGGGGUUCAUUGCCAGUUAGGAUUUGUUCAGGUGCUUAGUGAGGCUAAAUUUUUCAGAUACAGGAUCAACAGUAUUAGGGAAGACUUCAGCGGUCAGGAACCAAUAGAUUAUAAAAUUUUUGAAGAUGCUUAUGUCUGUUUCUAUCUCAGCUCCCAAAGCCUGGCACAAGGCGGAUGCUCAGAGUAGGUGCUGAGUUGAUAUUUGUGAAUUGUGCAGUCUGGUUCCCAAAGGAUAUUAAGUAAAUAGUUACAUCCAUGUCAAGAUUUGCAUGUCUAGAUCUGCUUAGAAUGAUUCUAGGAUAUAUUCAGAUGAAAGAUCUAGUUUAUUUUCCUAUUUAUGAGAAUGAUAUUUAAAAAUAUUUCCUUUUAGUGUUUCACUUACUAAACUAAGUUAAAAUAUUAGCCCUUUUAAAAACAGAAUUAAACCUCAUACUCAUUUCUUUAUACCUCUAGAUCAGUUAUUAAGAAUGCAAUUGUGGUGAGGCUUGCCACAUUGAAAAAUUAACAUUACGGAGACGAUAUUUCUGCCAACUUCAGAGUUAAGACAUUGCUGUCAUUAUUAAAGCAGGAUAUUUUUCAUAUAUAUAAAUGACGCUUCUGGAAACAAUUAGAGUAAGUGCCGCUUGAACAUUAACGGGGGAUUUGUCCUAUGUCAUUCACAUUCCCUCAACUUAUUUGCCUUAGGAAUGUUGCACAGACUUACAUCUCUCAUACAUUUUGUCCUCAGGGGUAGUAUAUUUCCUCCCCCCCCCAUACAGCAAUUCACAAUCCAGUGUAACAAAGCAUGUAUAUUUUCCAUUGUAUUCCAUUAUUUUUCCUGCCUAGGGGCUCUGUUUCCUUAUAAAAUUGUGCUUGCUGAAAUUUCCUUGGUAGUUACUAAGUUCAACAUGCUCUUUUUUCCAUAUACGAGACCAAAACUCAGAGAGUUCACAUAACUUUUUGCCUGUGGCCCAACAGUUGCUAAUGCCUACAUCCAGAUAUCCUAUUUUCCAAACUAUUCAUUUUUAAAUAUCAUCUAUCUCAAAUUUGAAAACCACUGAUGAAGUACUUAUUUGAUUAUUUUUUAUCACCAUCUAUAACCAGUGGAUUUGUAUGAUCCCUAUUGCAGGCUUCUCCCCUUUUUGAGUACCGUCUACUGUUCUCUAAUUAACUCCAUUGUCAAGCCACAUGACAACAUCUAGAUAUCUGAAAUACUCUGUAACAAGUCUUUGUGUUCUCAUGAAGGGCAAUACUUAAAUGAAAAAAAAAAUUUUAGGGCACCUGGGUGGCUCAGUCAGUCCAGGGUCCAACUUCAGCUCAGGUCAUGAUCUCAUGAUUUGUGGGUUCGAGCUCCGCGUCCUGCAUCAGGCUCUGUGCUGACAGCUGGGAUCCUGGAGCCUGCUUUAGUUUCUUUGUCUCCCUCUCUCUCUGACCCUCCCCUGCUCAUACUGUCUCUCUCUCUCUCCCUCUUUCUCUCUCUCUCUCAAAAAUAAAUAUUUUUUUAAAAUUUUUUAAAAAGAAAAAAAACCAGGAAAACAUUUUUUAAAGUAGCCAAAUAUCCAAAUGUUUUCUAAAUUCCCAUGUUUAGGGACACCUGGGUGGCUCAGGUUGGUUGAACACCCGACUUACUGGGCUCAGGUCGUGAUCUUGCGGUUUGUGACUUUGAACCUUACAUCAGGCUCGCUGCUAUCAGCACAGAGCCCACUUUGGAUCCUCUCCCCCCCCCCCCCCCCCCCCCCCCCCCCCCCUCNAUCCAAAUGUUUUCUAAAUUCCCAUGUUUAGGGACACCUGGGUGGCUCAGGUUGGUUGAACACCCGACUUACUGGGCUCAGGUCGUGAUCUUGCGGUUUGUGACUUUGAACCUUACAUCAGGCUCGCUGCUAUCAGCACAGAGCCCACUUUGGAUCCUCUCCCCCCCCCUCUCUCUGCCCCUCUUCUGCUUGCGCUCUCUCAAAAAUAAGCAUUAAAAAAAUAAAAAUAAUAAAACGAAUUCCCAUAUUUAUGGCAUUCUGUGGAGAAAGUCUCCAGAUAAAUAUCUAUAAACUUCAACCUUCAAACAAAAAUGUCUUCCACGUGGAUAUUUCCUAAAGUCUAUCUAUGUUGUUCUGUGUAAGAAACUGAAAGACUAAUGUUGCCUCUGCAGAAAUACCAACUUAAUGUUUUUAAAUCCAUCUUUCAUAUUACCUCAUCUAUUACAAUGUAACUACAUUUACGUUUAUAUGGGUAUUGUGUUCUUGAUGGUAUCUUCUGAUCUGUAUCAUCAUCAACGUGAACAUUAAGCCCAUAAUUAAUGUAAUACCAGCAAAUAGAAAGUAAAUAUUUGCCAAGCAUUAUCAAUUAAUAUGUACUCUGGGCCACGAAUUUAUGUAUCUCUCUGUAUCUGCCUUUUUUUUCUUUAUAGAUGAUGUUGCAUAAACAUACUCAAAUAUUCUGAAAGCUCAGGUUAACUGUAUUUAAAAUCAUAUUUUGCAUGGCAAUACAGGCAGCAAUUGGCCUUGUGCAGGCACUUCUUUGAAAGGGAUACAGAAGGGUGCCUGGUUGGUUCACUCGGUUUGGAUUUCAGCUCAGGUCAUGACCCCAGGGUAGUAAAAUUGAACCUGUGUUGGGCUCCAAGCUGGGUGUGGAGCCUGCUUAAGAUUUCCUCUCUCCCUCUUCCUCUGCCCCUCCCUUGCUCACCAAAUGUGCUCUUUCUCAAAAAAAAAAAAAAAAGGGAUAUUGAAAUUGUCAUUAAUUCUCAUUUGCAUUAGAUUCAAGUGUAUAUCCUGAAUAAUGCCUCAUGCAACUAUAUUGCCUCAGGAUUUUAUAAAUUACUCCUAUAAAAAUAAAAAGGAGUUACUUGAAGAGAAUUGAACUUAUAGCAUACUAAACAAUGUUUGGCUUAUUAGUUAACUCAUGUAUAUAAAAUUAAUGUAUAAACAUUAUAUGUGUGUUUAAUAUAACUCUAUAUGUAUAUGGCCACUCAUUUAUGUAUACAUACUCCUGCCCAUAUAGUCAGUACCUAUUAAUUGAGCACUUACUUGAUUCCAGGCACGUGGCUAAGACAGGAAAUACAGCAUGAACAAGACAAACCUGGCACCCAUUCUCCUAGAUCCUGUCAGGCACAAGAGCGCCCCUAACUUCUCCCUCGGCAGGCAUGGCACAAAGACGUCCGUGCCCCUGAGCCUGGAUCUCCUCAGGUCGGGGCUCUUUGGCAGGGCUCUUUGACUGGAUCAAGAAUGGCAUGGGAAUCAAAACCUAUUUGCCAUUCCUGACUGUAUAUUUACAUGUAUACGUAGCAGGCUGUUAAAUUAGAUGUUUCCAUCUAGAGACCCAGGCACAAUAGAUAACAAGAACCAAAAUAAAAUUUGCCCUAGACUACCACGAUGGAAAUUAUUAAUUCAAGUUUGAACUUUUUAUUUGGGGACUGGUUACAUGAUUUGAGGUCUCUUUCCAGGAGCCCUUCAAGAAGAUCAAAAGUAAGGGUUGACUGAGAUUGGGAAACGAUUUUGUGACAACAGUUUCUCUGUAGAAAUGGUAUUAAGAGCCACAGCGCCCUUAAGGGGUACAGCCCUUUCACCUAAGGCUACGGACGACUUGGCAAGUUUGCAGUUAAAGGACCACAGGGCACUGGUGCCCCAGUCAGGCUCGAGAAAGCUGCACUGGCUUGUGUGGAAGAGAAGAAUGCUACGGUUGGGAAGAAAACGCAUUCCUCACCAACACACGUCAAUAGGGUGUGACUCCGGCAUCAGAGGGCAUCAUACUGAUGACAUUUAAAAAUGAGUCCUGCCCACGGGGUUUUCCCUCCCAGGUAAGAGGAUCCAGGUGCUAACUAGCCGUCCCAUCGGGGACAGAAGCUGAAGUGGGACUGAAAGCCACAGGCUCAAGGAGAGACACUGCCAUGUCACAGGAGUGGCAGUUGAUGGGGCCUGCAGAGGGAACUUCAAAGAACUCACAUAAGCACCUACACAGGAAAGUCAGCUUUAAAACACCUGCAAGGUCUAGACAGCAUGACACCUGCCUAUGACAGUGGUGGCCAUGUAGGAAGUACAGGUAUUUCCAUCAAUUUUAUAUCCAAGCUCCCCAAACAUUAGCUGGUAGAAGCAGAAAGGAAGCUGCUUCUUUCCCACUGCUUGCUACAGGCUUCAGCUGAAGGCAGAACUGAGAUUUAGGUUUAAAUCAAGUUAGAACUUUGCAAUAUCUGGGAAAGGAAAUUUACAUUGCUUGAGCAAAUUUGGUGAAGUUAUCAUAGCCCUUUCUAUUAUCUCAGAGUGGCCAAAAGGUUUCUAAAGGUCUUCAUUGUCGCUCAAGGGCAGGAGAUGGGCUGCAAAUACUGAAUGGGUUUAAAGGGAUGGAGGGAAGCAAAAAUAAAAUUGCUUAUAUAAUUCACUCAUUCAUUGAUCCAUUCAUCCAGUGAAUAUUUAUUAAACACCUUCUAUGUGCCAGGCACUGUUUUCAGUGCUAGAUACAUGCGAGUGAAAAAAAAAUACUAAAAAAAAAAAAAUCUUCUGCUCCACAGAGUUUUGUUUUUAAUUUUUUUUUUUUAAAUUUUUUUUUUCAACGUUUAUUUAUUUUUGGGACAGAGAGAGACAGAGCAUGAACGGGGGAGGGGCAGAGAGAGAGGGAGACACAGAAUCGGAAACAGGCUCCAGGCUCUGAGCCAUCAGCCCAGAGCCUGACGCGGGGCUCGAACUCACGGACCGCGAGAUCGUGACCUGGCUGAAGUCGGACGUUUAACCGACUGCGCCACCCAGGCGCCCCAGUUUUUAAUUUUUUAAAAAUGUUUUAUUUAUUUUUGAGAGAGAGACCAAGUGUGCAUGGGGGAGGGGCAGAGAGGGAGGGAGCACAGAAUCUGAAGCAGGCUCCCAGACGCAGGGCUCAAACUCACGAACCGCAAGAUCAUGACCUGAGCUGAAAUCAGACACUUAACCAACUGAGCCACACAGGCACCCCUGCUUCACAGAGUUUCACACUUAGGGAGUGUAUGUUUAAUGUCAAGGAGACAUAUACAUAUAAGCACACAAUGAUGAACAGGUGUACGAGUGAGUUGCCCAGACAUUCUAUUUAUUUUCUACCUUUUCUUUACAGUUUUGGUGAAACCCAAAGGUAGUAUAGAUAAGGAAAUCUCAUGAUUCUGGUCUUCUCUGUUGACCCGAUUAUAUGUGAGGCUGUCCUUGAAUGAGUUCUAUGAUCAUCUUCAUUCAUAUUGCCGUAUUCCUGCAUCAUGGUUGCUAAGUUAAUUACCCAGCUCUCCUAGUCUGCAAAGUUCAACCUUAAAGUACUGCUUUUUUCCCCAACUGUGUAUACAACUCAACUUAAUUUGGCUUUGGAUAUUUUGUUAUAACACUUCAGGUUUAUGCUUAAAAUUGUUUCUGGGGCAUAAAAAUGGGCCACUGUCCUGCUCCUCAGUACACAAGACCAUUGAGAAGAAAUCUGGACUGUGCUGACAAUUUCUGCGCGCGUUUCCAGGCAGGGAUGAAUGAGCAGGAUUUGUAUAACGCAAUUUAAUCAGGAUCUGGCUCGUCAUUUGCUUUGACCACUCCUCUCUCUUCCCCCCGACUCCCAAAUGCACACGGAGACAUAGCUUGCCCAGCAGUUCCUACUGGUGCAGGGCUGGACAAAGAGAUCGCUUUGACUCACAAUGGGAAGAGAAAAACGUUUAUGCUGAAUGCUCUGUUGUGGUGUAAAAUAUCUUAAAUGUAGUGUGCAGCUGUCUUUCUGAAAAAUUUGCUCUAUAAUUCUUUCAUCUUCACUUAUGUGUGGUGGACCUAACUUAAAACCAAUGAAGUCCAAAUUUUACAGUUGAAACAUUUUGAUCCUUUAGCAGAAGGAAAAUGAAGUCCUCUUGUAAUUAAAACAUUAAAAUAAUUACUGAUCUAUAUUUAAAAUGAAAAAUUUAUAAAACACAUAAAAUUUUAAAUUCUCCUUACAGACAUUUGCUUAAAAACUUUUUGGGCGUACCUGGCUGGCUCGGUUGGUAGAGAACGUGACUCUUGAUCUCGGGAUUGUGAGUUCGAGCCCCACACUGGUCAUGGAGUUUACCUAAAAAAAUAAUGUAAAAAAAGCUUUUUGAAAAUAUCAUGCCCAGUUUCUUCUCAUAACAGGGGUACCUGUUGCCUAGUUUCGGUCCCAUAGGCUUUUUUAAAUGCCAUAUUGAUGUUCCUUAAACUGUCACUUGAAAUUUUUUUUUUAAGUUUUAGUUCUCAUGUAUAGUAAGAGCCCUUCAAUGUUUUUGUCAAUGUAAUUUAGCCAUUAUGAACAACCGGUUUGGAUGAACAGUGUUUAUUUUAUACUGGGCCACUUCUACUUGUGAUAUGGAUAAAUAACAUUUUACCGUCAAGUUUGUUCAACAAAACCAUUAUUGCUUUCUUGCUGUGCAGACACGGCAUUUGUUUCUGCGUCUGCUAAAAAAUAGUACUUGCCUUUGAGAAGCAUAUCAUCCAAUGUGUUGGGACGAAAGAGAAAUGUAGAUUGUCAUUUAUACUUUUAUAGUGCAUAGGAUGUAAAUUUGUAAUUUUAAUAAAAUGUGUUAAAAGCCGAGGUAAAAAUAUGUGCAGAUUGUUACCUAUUUCUUUCUAAUUUCGAAUUCCUGACUAACUCCUAUUAAUGACAGGACUGGCACUCUGACACGAGACAAUAGGUUAUAAGGAAAGGUUACACAUAAAAUUGAUCAGAAAGACUGCAAAUGCUGUUGUUGCACGCAUGAACUGUGAAGGGUGCUGUUAAUCCUGAAGAAGUAUGUGUUAAUAAACAACGUAUAUUGAAUAUACUGAUUAAAGCUGUCUGAUUAAUCCAACAGUAAGUGCUCUAGAGCCAUUAAAUUGAGCUUUCAGAGAAUUAUCAUCUACUUGAAUCUUUUUAAUUUAUCAAAUGCUCCUAAUAUAUUAUUUACCACUCACUGGUUUUUCAAGUCACAAGAGUAAUGCUAUUUGGACACUUAAAAAUACAUAACUGGAGAUAAAUUAGCAAAAUAAUAAAUCAUCCAACAAUUCAUCUUACCUUUCUAACCUUACGUCAUAAAGUGUUACUCACAAGUAAAUCUCUGGAGACACUGAUAGUACAGUGCCUAGUUUCAAAGUACGUAUUCAUACAAAAUUCCCUUUGCCUGCCAGCUGGAGCUAGAAUUCUGAGAAUUGUACACUUCAAGUACAUAUUUAAGGAAGAGCAAGUAUGUCGACAGGCUGUGAUAGAAGAUACAUAAUGAACAGAGUCCAUACACUCAAAGCUUAAGUGUUCAGGGAAGUAGAAACUAUGUUAUGGGACCAGAAGAUUUAGGGAACAUUACAAUAGCCACAGGCGUGGCUUCAUCUAAACAUUAACAUUUUAUAAAAUACAAAAAUACGUAUUAUUAGUUUUAUGAAUAAAGUUAAGAAGUUUUUAGAUGGGAUGAGCCCAUAGCGGUUGAAAUCAACAUCACCUGCAGAUCUCUGACGGUCAAAAUGAUUCUCUGUCCAUAGAAUGAAUAAAUUAAAUAAAAUAAAACUUGCAGUUGCGUGUAUGGGUGAGCAUUUCAGUAUAAAUAACAUUAAAUUAGAUGUGGCUAUUCUUCUACAUAUUGCCAUUUUUGUCCUGCUCACAAUCCAUUUGCCAUUUCUCCCCCACUCCCAGCUCGCCCCAGGGAAGUAAGAUAGAAUCAGGGAAUCUGAAAGAGUAGUGUGAUGUGUGCAGGGAGUUGAGGGCACAGACAGAGCAGGAAGUGAAAUGUCGAGUGGGUACAACAAAGAACAGGAGCCCAGGAUAAACCACGGCAAGAUGGAAUCACGCUCUUUUUAGAUGUUACAUUUCAAGGUUGUUCCUGAGUUUUAUUUUUUAGGAACUCCUGGGUAUUUGUUGAAUCUGACCAUAAUUUGGUCCCUGGGGCAAAAGGGCAAAUGUUUUGAAAGAGUUUCUAUGUAUAGAUUUGGCGGGGGGGGGAAGCAUUUUUAUUCUUAUACAGAGAUUUCUAAAGUCAGUAGUUGGUUGACCAUCUGAGAAUCUCAGUCAUUAUUGUUGCUUCCCCAAUGAUGGAGGAAGAUAUGAUGCCAUUUGAUGCCUUGUCAUUUCAACCUUCUUGCAUCCGCUUUCCGUGAGAUGUUCCCUAAUAUAGUUUAUUAAAUCUGAAGCUGCAUACCCAUUAUUGAGUAGCUCCUAAAUAGUUUUUAGGCAAAGUAUAUCAUAACAGUUCAAUAAUACUCUUCUUACUUGACUUUAAAAUGCCUUCUCUUAGUCUGUUGUUGCAAACAACAUUUUAUUCUAUACAAUAUUUAGGUGAAGGACCAUGGGAAGGAAAUGUAGAAUUAGUUGUAGAGAUAAUGACCAUUACUAUAGAUCUUAGUGUGUUGAAAAGCGGGUGUCCUGGGCAAAUUCUACAGGUAGAAUUCAGACAGAUGGGAUCAAAUAUCUCACAUAUAAGAAAUUACCCCUAAAAAUAUUCCAGCUUUAUUUAGAAAAGUAGCUAAUUUUUUGUGAAAAUGCAGUUCUGUCUCUAAUUUUAGUGCAUCUAGACAGAGAAACACACACACACAUAUGUGUAUAUAUGUAUGCAUAUAUAAUAUAUAAUCCUAUAUUUAUGUAAUCAUAUUAUAUAUAGUCAUUAUAAACAUAUAUAUAUAUAUAUAUACAUACAAAUAAAUUUGUCAUCUAAAAAAUGUUCUAAUAGUAAGACUAUGGGAAUACCUUUGGAACCUAUAAACAUCAUGCUUUUUGGGGAAAGUGUUCAUUUUCUAUAUCUAUUUAAAUUAUUCUUUUGAAAAGCAUUUCAUAGGCUUUCUGCAUGUGCAGGAUGUUAGGUAGAAAUCGAAAUUAUAUUCUAGUUUGGUGGGAAUAUACCUGCCUUUAAUACAACACAAUGACCUCACAAGAGGUAUUUCUGUUGCCUCACUUGUAACUCUGUGAUGUAAAUUUUGACGCUUCACAAAUUGGCUCUGAUGGUUAUGACAUCAACAACUGCUAUACAUCUCCUUGGUUAGGUUACAUGCUUAAUUAGUCAUGUUUCAUUUCCUUUCUGGCUUUCACAGAAGUUUCUCUUACAUGACAUGAGUUUUGGAAGACAGCAUCCUCUGAGGACUCCCAUUCCCCCAUCUUUAGAGAAAUUCCUUCUUGAAAGAGGCAAAUUAGCACAACGUUGCACCCAGACAGGAAAACGGGGUUCUGGAUGUGGAAGGUGACUGCGGACAGAGAUUUCAAGAUCAAAACUUUCAAAGUAUGUUUCUGCCACUUCCCGUGUCACCUGCGGGAUUGCACUUCAUCUCUCUUUACUUCAUUUCACCUGUCAGUUAAAAAGGGCAUAAUAUUUAUGUUCAAGUCUUUCAGUUUUUUGAUUUUUUAUAAUGAACUCUUUGUUCGUAUUGAAGCAAGCCCAUAUUAUUAACAAAUGAUACGGUCACAAUGAAAAACUCCCUUCCUAUGCAGAGAGCCCAAGGGACAGCUCCCUUUUCUAUUUUUCAGCUGUACACCUUUGCAAAUGGAUGAGCCUUGCGCCACUGCCUAAAGGUCAGAAAGCAAAGGAUCUGCUGAUUCAGCAGGAAGGAUAAAACCCUAGAGUUUCCAUCUCCCUACCUAAAAUACCUAAUCUCUUCUUCUUUGUGGAAAUAAAACCUGGGAACACUUAGGGAAGACCAAAGUUUUAUUUUUGCUGAGACCCCAAAGUUUUGUCCAUAGUGUCUGUCUUCUGGGACUCUAUUAUUCUGGUAGCUGCACCAGAGAAAUAAGAGUUCAGGUGUAGCUCACCCAGCUCUCAAAGGUUCUUAGAACAGGUUCUAAGAACAGGUUCUAAGAACAGGUUCUAAGAACAAAGGUUCUUAGAACAGGUUUUAUUUUUGCUGAGACCCCAAAGUUUUGUCCAUAGUGUCUGUCUUCUGGGACUCUAUUAUUCUGGUAGCUGCACCAGAGAAAUAAGAGUUCAGGUGUAGCUCACCCAGCUCUCAAAGGUUCUUAGAACCACAGUCUUCACCACUGUGCACAACUCAAGGAAGCUUUCUCCUGCAGUUGUUUGUUCAUUUAGAAUGAGGGAAUACACAUAAACUCCUGACCCAUUGGACUGAUGGAGUCCAAAUUUUGAAAAUAUCUUCCCAUUUUAUUCUUUUUCUUAUCUCUCAUCUGGUGUUGUCACUCCAAUGAAGAAUACUAACACCAAAGAUCUUUUUUUUUUUAUGUUUAUUUCUUUCUUUUGAGAGAGAGAGAGCACGGAGAAGGGACAAAGAGGGAGACAGAGAAUCCCAAGCAGGCUCCAGGCUGUCAGUGCAGAGCCCGACAGGGGGCUCAAAUUCAUGAACUGCUUGAUCAAAACUGAGCAAAAAUGAAGAGUAGGAUACUUAAUCUAAUGAGCCAUCCCAGGUGCCUUAAACUAAAACUAAACUAAAAACUAAAGAUCUUAAAGCUAAAGUACUUAAUUCUAAUUACCAUUUUGGAGCUAACAGUUUUUAGGGGGGCAAAACUAUCACAAACACUAAAAUUAGAUUUGGGGACUGUUUCCAUUAUAAUUGUAAAUUUUCUUCACAUUAUUACCAGCCUACUUCUUUCAGUAAUAUAAUGAGGAAUACUAUGGCCAUCACUGUUUAAGUCUAUGAUUUAAAGUGUGUUUACUAUUUCCCAUGUAGCAUUAAGCACUAAACUAAGAAUUUCACCUGCCGAACUUGAAUUUCACUUGACAGCCAUAGCAGGUGGCCACUGUUACUGUCCUCAUUUUAUAGAUGAGGUGUAAGAGGUUAAGAAGCAUUUACAAGGUCCCAUCCCAGUAAUUGGCUGAAAGAGCACUGAGACUCAGGUUCGUCUACCUUCAAAACUAUCUGUGCCCUCUCCUGAUGACCAUGCAAUGCUCUGUUAAAUAGCAUGAUGCACUACUGGUUAAAGACUUCUCAUGUGAAUAUUUUUUCGCUGAUUUAGGGUUACAAUAAUCCCAUAAAAUAGACUGUCGAUGUAAUAAAAAUUGCCAAUGUAGUCUGUACAUUUUAUAGCCUGAUGAAUAAAAGAAACCUCUCCUCUUCUACGUGAGCAGGAGAGUGGCUUGUUUGGGUAGGUCUCCUCUUGUGCCUGAUUCCCCAAAACUGUAGCCUCUAUGUUUCUAAUCUCUGCAGAAUUCCCUAGUCUGCUACUGUGGCAGGAAGAAGGCAUGGGAAAGACGCAGUCAUCGAUUAUGUGAGAAAAAGGAUUGAAAUGAGAGACACAACCUGUCAAAAUUUCUUCUUAACCACUAUGAAUGCCUCAACAUCGGUCAGAUGUUCUUUUGUGUGUUUCUCAAAAGUGUGCUUACUGAUUUUCUUUUCCAAUAAAUUUUAAUUUUUAAGUGGUACAUACAUAUAAUAAAAACUUAAAUAGGAAAAAAAAAAAAAAAGACACCUAAAGGGCGUGUAACAGGAAAAGUCUGUAUUCUCUCUGUUUCACCUCUCUCACUUUCUAGUUUCACUGUCCAGAGUGACAUUCAAUUCCUUUAGCUCAGUCCACUGAUGGUAAACCUCCAUAUCUCUAAAGAAUAUGCUUAGUAGGCUGGUACUUGACUUUUUAACUGCUGAUAUUACUUUCAUCCUAUUAUAAGAAGCAUGAUAUGAAGUAUUUCACAACUUUGGCUAAGUCAACAGAAUGUACUAUCAGUCACUGAUGAACUAAAUAAUGUCCCAGAAAAUUAGCACAUACUUUUGUAAAUUUUUUUUAAUAUAUAGUUUUCUUCUCCAUUCUGUUUUCUGUCUCUGGAAUGACUGUUUUUCAGAUUAAAUCUCUAAUAUCCUAUAUUCUUUCUCAAUUUUUUUAUCACUGUUAUUACAUAUUCUUAGAACUAUUCUGUUCUUUAGCUUCUGAGCUUUUCUACUUAUUAAUUUUUAUGUAUCAACUUUCAAGCACUAUUUUUUGAUCUCUAAUUAUGCCUCUUUAAAAGUAUGGAUUUUAUAAUUUAGUGGAAGCACUGUCUUCUCUAAUCUCUUGAGGAUACGGAUUAUAGGAUUUAUUUCCCUUUUGUGUGUGUACACGUGUCUCUGUGUCUGUAUAUUUGUUAUUUCUUUUGCUUUUAUAGCUCUCAAAUUCUGCAUUUUCUUUCAAUGUCUUGUGAUUUUUGUCCAUAAACUUAUUUUUUUAAUUUUUUAAUGUUUAUUUAUUUUUGAGAGAGAAACAGUGCCAGCAGGGGAGGGGCAGAGAGAGAGGGAGACACAGAAUCUGAAGCAGGCUCAGGUUCUGAGCUGUCAGCACACAGCCCGAUGCGGGGCUCGACCCCGUGAACUGCGAGAUCAUGACCUGAGCUGAAGUCAGACACUCAACUGACUGAGCCACUGAGGGUCCCCUAAACUUAUUUUCUAAGAGCAAGGCUUGAAAAAAUUGUUGAUUAGCUCUGUUUUUUUUUAAUUAAUUAAUUUAUUUUGAGAAAGAGAGAGCAGGGGAGGGGCAGAAAGAGAAAGAGACAGAGAGAGAGAGAGAGAGAGAGAGACAGAGAGAGAGACAGAGAAUCCCAAGCAGGCUCUGCAGUGUCAGUGAGGGGCUUGAAUCCAUGAACUGUGAGAUCAUGACCUGAGCUGAAACCAAGAGUUGGACGCUUCACCGAAUGAGCCACCCGGGGAACCCCAAGAAGCUCUGUUUAGGAGGAGACGACUUGUCAGUUAUUGGCACCACCAGAGCACAGGUCAGUUUAGCUUUUCACUAGGUAUGUCCAAACAUCAGUAUCCAGAGGACUUUCGGACAGGAAUCUGCUGAGAAGUCCUUAUCCAUCUCCUAUGACAGGCAACGCAGGGCGAACAGGGUGCAGGAGGACCAACUUGUGUGCAAGCAUUCUGAAGUAGGUCCAGAGAAAAGAGUUGAGAAUUCCAUAAUCCUCCAUUUGCGUUUCCUUUUUUCCCCUACUUUAUUUUGUUCACCCCAAUUCUCUACUGUGUUUUGUGUCCCCCACAUCCAGAGAUUCUAUUCAAAUGAUCCACAAAAGAGCACCCAGCCUCCUGAGGGGGUGAGGGUGGAUGAUUUUCUAGAAAAACAGAAAUUAGGAUAUUGAUCUCACAAAAUUGGAAAAAUUUAAUAAUCUGUUUACCAUAAAGUAAAUAUUAUUUCUAUUUUAAAAACAUAAUUUAUUUUCAAUUGCACAAAUAUUAUAUUAAUCUAUUCUCUUUUGACCACAUUUGACCAAUACAAAUAAAAUCUUUUUCCGCUACAAUCAACUUCAAUCUCCUUCUCUCUUCUUAAUAAUAAAGUAUUACUAAUUUAAUACGUGUGCUUCAGUGACCUAUAGUCUGUGUACGAAAACUGAUUCUCAAUAUUUUUAUUAUAAUUUAUGUUCACGUUUCUUUAUUGUGGUGGUUCUCCAAGUGUUGUGCCCUGAUCAGCAGCAGUAGCAUCGUAUGUGAGGCUGCUAGACAUGCACAUUCAUGGGGCUAAAAUUAACAACUCGGGAAACAACAGAUGUUGGUGAGGAUGCAGAGAGGUUGUUACACUGUUGGUGGGAAUGCAAACUGGUGCAGCCACUCUGGAGAACAGUAAGGAAGUUCAUCAAAAAAUUAAAAAUAGAGAUAUCCUACGGCCCAGCAACUGAACUAAUAGGUAUUUAUCCAAAGGACAUAAAAAUGCUGAUUCGAAGGGGCACAUGCACCCCAGUGUUUAUAGCAGCCCUGUCAACAAUAGCCAAAGUAUGGGAAGAGCCCAAAUGUCCAUCGACGGAUGAAUGGAUAAAGAGGAAGUGGUAUUUGUAUACAAUGGAAUAUUACUUGGUAAUCCAAAAGAAUGCAAUCUUGCCAUUUGCAACAAUGUGGAUGGAACUAGAGUGUAUUAGGCUAAUCGAAAUAAGUCAGACAGAGAAAGACAAAUAUCGUAUGAUUUCACUCUUCUGUGGAACUUAAGAAAUGCAACAGUUGAACAUAGGGAAAGGGAAGGAAAAAUAAAAUUAGAACAGAAAGGGAGGCAAACCAUAAGAGACUCAUACAGAGAACAAACUGAGGGUUGCUGGAGAGGAGGUAUGUGUGGGGAUGGGCUAAAAUGGGUGAUGGGCAUUAAGGAGGGCACUUGUUGGGAUGAGCACUGGGUGUUAUAUGUAAGUGAUGAACCACUAAAUGCUACUUCUGAAACCAAUACUAUACUAUAUGUUAACUAACUGGAAUUUAAAUAAAAAAACAAAUGCACAUUCAUGGGCUCUACUCCAGAUCUACGACUGAAUCAGAAGCUCUGGCAAUGGGGAUUAGCAAUCUGACGUGCUCUGAAGUUCAAGAACCACGGAUCCUGAGAAUUCACAGUGAUGAUGGUAAAGACAGAUUAUGAAAAUUGGUCCAGAAGUCCAGUGUUAGACAAUGUUCAGAGAUGACAGAACAUGAUGUUUCCUGUCUCUUCGAAUACUUUUCAUGAAUACUUUUCAUGGUAGGUCAACGAAUAAUGAUAAUAGAAUUUAGAUCAUAGAGAACUUAAUCCUGGUCUUAUUGUUGAAUUCAGGGAAGAGAAAAUACUUAGAUUCCUCCGGCCCUCCCACUCUCCUAAAAAAUCUAGGGAAGCAGCAGGGUUAUUAGAGAUGACGGCAGUGGUGACACCCUUUUUCAAUGCUUAAUAAAAGCUGGACAGAAGCAAACGCUUUCUAUCACCAUCUCUUACCAAGCAGAGAAUAAGAUUACAUUUCUGGCUGUUUCAGUUCAGUUACACAUCAAAACUGUAUUUCCCUUUACACACUAGUAAAAACUUCAGAUUAAGAAUUUGGAGAAUCAGAUGCUUGCAGGGACUGGGCUGUUUCUUAAGCUGUGCACCAUUGGGAAAAUUACUUUUGCUCACUGGUCCCUAAUUUUUCCCAUGAGCAAAACAGAAAUUGGACUGUAUGACACUCUGUCAUCCCAAGAUCCUGAACACUGGUGAUACAAGGCAGAAGGAACUCUAAAACGAGAAGAUGCCUCCAGGAAAUUGGUUCCCGUCACCAAGUCAGAAAAACUCCAGAGCCUGGACAUUCCUUAUCUCAUCUCACUUUGGAGGACCUCAUGACUCAUGACUUAUCCUGCCUUUUCUUUCUUCUUCUACAACCUACCCAAGGCCAGCCUACAUCUCUCGGGUGGCACUCUGCUGCACACACCUGCCCCGGGAACACGUGCCGGGAAAGCAGCAGGUAGAGUGGUCCUUGCCAUGGAGGAGGGGCUGGAUUAGCGGGGGGCUCUGUGUGCUCCUGAUCAGUGAGCAGUGACAUGGCUGGGAGGCACUGGCCUGGUCAAAAGAAUGUUCUUUCACUUCUAGCCUGUUCUCAGCACGCUCCACAGAAUGUACUAUGCUGGCUAAGACUAAGAGUGUAGAUAACAUAGCCUCAAGCACAAUCCUAUCUCCUAAUUGGAAAAUUCCAGGACUGUAGGGGAAAGGUGAGGUGGUGGUGUUGAGCAUCAGGCGACAGGCAGCUUAACACACACAAUUUGAUUGAGAAAAAUGGAAUUAUUUUAUAGUCCAGUGGGGUCCGAAUUGUUAUUCUACUCAGAUCUUUAUUGCUUGGCCCUUGUUAAUUUAAUAAGCAAUCUGUAUCCCUAGUACAGAAAACAAAUAGGUUUUAUAAGAGAGGGUCUAAAACUGAAGUGGCAAUAACAUAACUGAGAACACAGUUUUAUUUAUUUUCCUCAGUGGCAGAUUGUAUUUUCUGUAAUUUCUGUGCAAACAAACCAAUAUGGUAUUCUUCUGAAGGGCAUAAUUGGAAUGACAAAACUGUGAAGUCUCCACUGACUGUACUACCAGGGAAAUGGACGCGGGGCCACAGUAAUUUAAUUUUACCAGGAGUUACUAUCGACUAGAUUACCACAAACACGAGGAAACUUCUGCAACACUUCUCACACACUUUGCCCCCAAAUAUUGCUUCUGCUUUGGAGAAAUUACUUUCCUAAAAUAGCACUUAAUUAAAAAACAUCUGUGUGUACGGUGAACAAUAACUACAUUAAUAUGAGUUAACCCUCUAAAGAAUAACUCUGGCAUCUUUUUCUUUGCAAAUGUCUCUGGGCGACGUGCCAGGAAAAUACAAUAAAAUUUACUAGCCUGAAAGUUGUGUCUUUCCUUUCCCUUUCUGUCUAUCCAUCAUCUAUGCCAUUCUUAAAAAAAAAAAUUCUUACGGUUUUACUCGAAAUUUGAGAACCUUGCUUUAUAAGGCAGAAAACUGCCUUAUAUUUUCAGUGUUACAGUUUGUUUCAAUGGCACGAUAUUACAGUCUCUUUGUAAAACCAUCAUCUUUCUUUGAAGUUGAUUCCAUACAUUUUCAAUGAUCUAUAUUUUACACAUACUGAUGCAAACCUUUCAUCACUACACCUCGCAGGGCUCUCAUCCCCGCCUUGUUGCACUUUGCAUGGUCUCUUCCUCUCUCUGAAUCAUAAGUCACGAGGAGGCAGGGCCAUUUCCAAAAUCAAUUCCUGGCAGAAGAGAAAGGGCCUCCAUGCAUCAGGAAACCAUUUCAAAGGUUAACAGUUUAUCCAAGGGCAUUAAUUAAACUUCUUUCAUAAAUAAAGGCUCAGUGCUGUCAAAAGGUGGAGUGCAUGAGGAGACAAUUCCAAGGCUAUAGCUUCCUUCACAAAAAAGAAAUGAAGCUCUUCUCAGACAAAGCCUAUUAAGCACAUUCACUUCCAGAUUGUUAGAUGUAACAAAUGAGCGGGAGAGACAGACAGCGGAAGAGCCCUUAAUUCAAGGAACAAAGGACACUUUCUAUGUUUUCUGGCAUUGUGGUCCCGUCUCUGAAAAAUUCCAAGAGCACCAAAGAAGGGGAUAAUUAAGCAAUGAUUAAUACCAAACCAAAGAUGACUCUUGAGGUUCAUUUGAUAUCAAUUUCCUUCAGGGAGAGUAUCUGCUUAUUCCUUAUAGCACUGAUCCCCAUCUAUAAGAUUAAAAAUUACACAGCCCUUAUUAAACAGUUUAAAAGAAGUGGAGAAUUUUCUUCCCUAAGCUUUGACUGAUGAGAUUCUCUGCCAAUUUAUAAAAUAAGAAAAAUGGAAAAAUUACAGAAUAAACCAUCAUAGUCACUUUUGUUAGUGAAUUUUUAUUUUUAGGUUCAUUUUCAGCAUUGGGCAAAAUAACAUCAAGGGCAAGGAAAUAAACAGCCUGACUUUUGUUGUCACAUGGGUACCAAGCCAUAUCAAGAUGAAGUGCAGGCAUUAGAAAAUUGUAAGUGAAUACUGGGCAAACAGACCCAGAGCAGCUUAGCCACUACUAGGCACGUAUUUCUUCGAUGUGAGUGAGAGACAUUGUUAUGGAUUACACAGAAAGUAGAUAAUGCGGAAAGAAAAAUCAGUUUAAAAUAUAUUUAAUAAAGGGGCACCUGGGUGGCUCAGUAAAACAUCCAACUCUUGAUUUUGGCUCAGGCCAUGAUCUCACGGUUCAUGAGUUCGAGCCCAGAUUUCGAGUCCCUGUUGGACUCUGUGCUGGCCGUGCAUAGCCUGCUUGGGAUUCUCUCUCUCUGCCCCUACCCCACUUGUUAUCCCUCUUUCUCUCUCUCUCAAAAUAAAUAAAUAAACUUUAAAAAAUGUUUAAUAAAAGUUCAAAAGAUAGUUUAAGAGGUCUUUUUUUUUUUUUUUGUAUAGAAAUUCAACUGAGUUUUAAGUGGAGACAUCAUAGCUGCUAAAUCUUUCAAAGCUAAUUGACACAAAGGGAUAAAGUAUAAUCAAUCCCUAAGCUUCAGCUUCAGGUUUUUAUUUUUGGUCAGAAGAACUCUUUCCAGGCAUCCAUUUGCAGUGGCUAGACAUUUUCCCUUUCUCUUGAAGACCCAAAUAGUUAAGGGCAGAAAAGCAAAUAAGGUGGAUUGUUUUUAAGGUGGACAAUGUCAGGGAUGGCCAGGCCUGGAUACUGGCUAAGUGGAUAAAGGCAAGGGAGACGCACCAAACGUCUGACCACUACUAGGUACAGGGGAUGGUACCACCCAGAAUCUAAAGCACCAGAGGCAGGGUUAGGGCCCAAGGUGCAGAGGAAUCAAGAAGAGAUGGGGAAUACCUCCCAGGACACAGAGACGUGCUUUGUUCCAUUCUGAGAGUAGAUUUUCUGACUGAGACAGAAUUGGCUUAAGAAACCAUAACUAGGACACACUAAAGAUUCAGCUACUUUAUUUUUUCUAAAUAUUUAUUUAUUGAGGGUGGGGGAAAGGGAGAGAGAGAGAGAGAAUCCUGAGCAGGCUCCACACUGUCAGCUUGGAGACCAACAAAUGACUCGACCUCACAAACUGUGAGACUAUGACCUGAGCCCAAACCAAGAGCUGGACACUUAGCUAACUGAGCCACCCAGGAACCCCAAGAUUCCCCCAUUUUAAAUCACGUGAUAUCCAAAUCUUCUCAUCAUAUAAAGAGAGGUUGGUAUAUUCUAUGUAGGGAACCAUACUAUAAUAGCAGGGAGUAUCUCAUUCAAAACUAAUCAGGGAAUCAAAACCCAGGGAGAAAGGGAGAUUUGGAGCCUUGCAGGGCCCUGGAAUUCACAGCCCAGAGACUAGAAUUGUGGAGACAUGGAAAUCAGAUGAGGGAUCCAAGAAUUCCAGAAUUGGAAUACAUGAAAAUAAAAAUCCCACAAAAUAGAUGAAUCUGACAAUUUUCAUCAAAAGAAGAUACAAAUACAUAAUAUUAUGAAUGAAAAGGGGCCCACACUACAAAUAGAAACUAAAAAGAUAAUGAGAACACUACCAAUAACUACGUUCCUAUAAUUUUGGAAUCUGAGAUGAAACAGAAAAAAUGUAAGGGAGAAUAUAUAUACAUGCAGACAUGAUUUCAAGAGGGUUAAAAGCUCAAGUAAUCUGUAGGUAUUAGAGAAGUUAGUCUGUAAAUCUUCAAAUAAAACAGCUAAAUAAAAAUAAAAAUAAAGAUACUGAAAUAAAACAGCAGAGCCAGGAGUUUUACAGAUGAAUUUUACCAAAUGUUCAAAAUGCAGACUAUUCUUUUUUUUUUUUUAAUUUAAGAAACUCUUUCUAAUGGUCAGAAAAGAGGGAAUAUCUAACUUAUUCCACAAGAGAAGUAUAAUCCUUAUAUCAAAAGCCAAAUAAGGCAUGUAAAAGGAUACUACACAUCAAUUUUACUCUUUAAAAUAUAUGUAAAAAUCCUAAAAAUAAUAGAGAUUUAAAAAACUAGAAAAUCAAAUCCAAUAUAUAUUUGGAAAGAGAAUAUACCAAGACAAGAUUGGGUUUACCCUAAAUAUAUAAAGAGGAAUUAUCUUUAAAAAAAUGUUCUUCGGUUAGAAUAUUGUAUACUAAGCUGGAUCCCCAUAACUGCUCUUAAAGGCAAGACUUUUUUCUUCUUUUUUUUUGGUAAAUUAUUGUAUUCCUAGUCCUCAAAACAGAUCUAUACCCAUAGCAGAUAGAUUAAUAAACUAAUUAUUGUGCUUGUUAAAGUGAAUGACAAAGGGUAUACAAUCUCAUACACUAUACAUUGAUAAAAUACACACCAUAUGUUAUCAUAUGAUAUGUAUGCAUUUUAAGUAAAGUAAUGGAAGUAUGUGUAACAUAAAGAAUAAAAGUAACUGAAGACUUAGGCAAAGGUGAACUAUGUAUAAGAAAGUAAAAAGAUAGCUUCUAAAACGGUCCCAAAUCCCUCACCUUUUCGUAUUCAUGCUUUUGUACAGUUCUCUUCCCUAGAAUAUAAGCUAGACCUAGUGACCUCCAUCAAAUGAACAGAAUACCCCAGCAGUGAUGGAACAUCACUUCCAAGAUCAGGUUACAAAAAGACAUUGACUUACAUUCUAUUCCCUCUCUAUUGCUUUCUCAGUUGCUUGCUCAAACUGCCAUGCAGUGAGCCAUCCUAUGAAAAGGGCCCUUUGGCAAGCAGUCAGAAACUAUGGAACACAAACCAGCAACUAUGGAAUACAAUCCAGCAAACUGUGAUGUGCUGAAUCCUGUCAGCAAUCAUGUGAGUGAGUUUGGAAGAUCUUCCUUUUGACAAGCUUUCAGAUGAGAAUACAGCCCAGGCCAAAAUCUGAUCACAAACUAUGAGGUCCUGGGGCAGAAGCACCCAGCAAAGCUGUAUCCACAGAAAUUGUGAGAAAAUAAAUGUUUGUUGCUUUUAAACGCUAACAUUUUGGGUAAUUUGUUAUGCAGCAAUAGCUAACUAAUACAGUUGGG